rnacentral:lncRNA from 1 species
GAAAAUAAACCUAAACUAUCAAUGAUUGUCAUAAAAUAAAAUGCAAAAUAGCAUAGGGAGAUUCAGAUUUUACUCACUAUCUUUUUGGUAUUUUGUUUUAUUUGAGAAAGUGAACAAAAGGGUAGAAACAAAACUAUGACAGACAGAAAUAUAUCACAACACAAACAUGUCUAUUCUCGCAUGAACAUAGUUAACACAAGGACUGCAGAACACACAUCACACAUGUGCGAACAGGGGAGUUACAAGACAUGAUUCUAGUGCUCACAGAUCAACAAAAUGAGUAGUACUAAACAAUCACAAGUCAAGAAACAAACACAUAGGGGAUCACACACAUAUACUAGAAGAUUACUAUAUCACAGAGCAUAUCAUACAUACUAAAUAUUAUCCAAACAGCUAGACAUUAACUAGCCAGAGCACAUAAUAAAAUGCACUAUAUUUUACAAGUACAAAACUAAACAAUGUCAGGUUGCAAGCUCUUAUCAAAUCUGAAUAUUACAUGUACUAAACAUCUCAAUUUUGAAUAUUACAAAGUAUUGAGCAAUAAACUUCUCAAGAUUACAGAAAUUUGAGAUCAGAGAGAGAGACAGAGCAGCAGCAAGGUUGGGAAAGGAGCGGCACUGGAGAUGCAGGAGAGGAAGCAGCAGGAGCUUGAGGUUCAGAUUGUGAAGAAGAACAGCAGGGGUUCCAGGAGAUGGAGUAGAAGCAGUACAGAGAGAAGGGCGGUAGGGGCGUAGGGUUCAACAUCAGGUUCAGAGAAGGUUGAGAGAGAGAGAGCAGCAGCAACAGUGCUAAGAGAGAGGUUCGGAGAAGAAGUAGCAGCAUGGGGACUCAGAGAAGCAGCAAGGGGGUAAAGGGAAGGAGAGAGGUGGAGGAGCAGCAGCGAGACAAGGGGAAAAGGAGCAGCAGCGAGUCUGUAAGCACGAACUAGAAUCUCUCUCGAGAAGCUAUAGAUUGAUCGGAAUUCAAAUGUUCCUGAGAGUUCAACAAGAGGGGAGGAGAUUACAGCCAAUCCUUACAAGCCAACUAUCCUAUCCAUUCCGGCCGAAGCCGCCAGCCACCCGUUACAGAACCACUACAGCAGUAUAUAAGUAAUGACUAGCGGGCCCAUUCCGGGUCGCGCAAUCUCGCUGGAGCCUGGGCUCUCCUCUUGGGCCUGGCCUGCUCUACGCUUGUCGGAUUCUCCUGUAGUGGUUCCUGUCUUGCCGUCUCCUGUAGCGAUUCAGCUGUUGUCGCUGUAGUAUCUUCAGUGCCGCUGACAAUCCCCCCUAGAGAGAAAACGGCUUGCCCCCAAGCCGGUGCGCGUGGGAAUUGUUGCUUCAGCAUGUCCUGGUCUUCCCAAGUUGCCAAAGAACUUGGGGAGUGGCUCCACUUGACCAGAACUUGGGCCACCGUCUUGUUCCCUCGUGAAACCAGUCAACGAUCCAGGAAACAUGUCGGAACCUGCAGGUUAGCUGCUGACGAUGGAAGAACUGGCAGUACCUGUUGAUUUGGUUUGAUCUGUCGCUUGAGCAAAGAGACAUGGAACACUGGGUGAACCCUGCAGUUGUCUGGUAACUUCAGUCUAUAAGCCACCACGCCUAUCCGCGCCAGGAUUUCAAAAGGAAUAGGUAAAGGCUGCAGUAGACCAGGGUAAAGAACUCUGUCGAGUUUGGCAAGCUGGCAGAUCUGACACUGCUGUAACACCUCCUUGAUCAUCUGCUUCAUUUUCUUCUAGUGAAACAAUUGAGAAAUUCUACGAUAAGUUACUGGAAAACCUGAGUGACCCCCGGCCGAGCUAGCAUGCAAACUGUCAACAAUCUCACGUUAUAGUUGCUCAUUUGAUCCAAUCCACAGUCGCUUCUUGAAACGGAGUAGGCCCCCUUGCAAUGUAAAGUUAGGAACAGCUGAAGGAUCAAUUUCUAGUUUCUGUAAGAUUGCUGUAACAUGAGGAUCUGACACAUAACUGUCCAUUAUUUCCUGCACCCAAGCUGGUUGCACUGCUGACAGAGCAUAGCAGUCCCCUGACAGAUAAGGGCGCCUGGAUAAUGCAUCAGCAACUUUGUUUUUUGUUCCUUUCCUGUAAAUGAUUUUGUAAUCGAGACAAACAACUUGGUUAGAGCUUUUUGCUGCCAGGCUGUAUGCAAACGUUGUUCUGUUAGACUGACCAAAGCUUUUUGAUCAGUGAUAAUGUUGAAUUCCUUUAGCUGAAGAUAGGAGCGCCACUGUUCAACUGCUAACAGAAUAGCUAAGAAUUAUUUUUCAUAAACUGACAGUGUCUGAUUUUUGGGUCCUAGGGCCUUGCUGACAAAUGCCACAGGGUGUCCCUCCUGAGAUAAAACAGCAUCAAUUCCGCAAUCACUGGCAUCUGUCUCUAUAGUAAAAGGCUGCUGGAAAUUGGGCACGGCCAAAACAGGGGCAGUCGCUAGGGCUUGUUUCAGUGUUUGAAAUGUUGUGUCCUCAACACUGGUCCAGACAAACACAGAGCCCUAGCGUAAUAAGUUAGUCAUUAGCUUGGCAAUAAUUCCAAAGUGGCGAAUGAACUUCCUAUAGUACCCAGCUAACCCUAGGAAACUCCUGACCUCUUUCACAGAUUCAGGUUGUGGCCACUGCUCGAUAGUACUUAUUUUCUCAGGGUUAGUGGAAACUCCAUCCUUGCUGAUUAUGUGACCCAAGUAGAGCAGCUUUUGAGAAGCAAAUUCACACUUGGAGAGUUUAACAUACCAUUUGUCUCUUCUCAAAACUGCCAAAACCCUUCUGACAUGUUCAAGGUGAUGUUUCAAUGUUUUACUGAAAAUCAGUAUGUCAUCAAAGAAUGCAAUGACAAAAUUCCUAAGCAUGUCAGUUCUUCAGACAAGGACACAUUAAUAGCUCCUUGAAAGGUGUUUGGAGCUCCUGUCAGACCAAAACCCACAACUAGGAACUCAAAAUGACCAUGAUGAGUUUGAAAGGCUGUCUUAUAUUCUUCUCCAGGAGCUAACCUUAUUUGGUGGUAUCCUGCCCUAAGAUCCAACUUUGUAAACCAUUGUGCUCCAUGUAAUUCAUCUAGGAGCUCAUCUAUUACAGGCAUAGGGUAAUUUCCCUUGAUUGUGAGAGCAUUGAGGUGCCUGUAAUCCACCACCAACCUCCAGGUGUGGUCCUUCUUUUUAACUAGGAGAAUGGGAGAGGAAAAUGGGCUGUUACUCCUUCUGAUUACACCAGAGUCUAGCAUCUCUUGUAUCUGCUUUUCCACCUCAUCCUUAAGUUCUAGAGCUAAUCUGUAUGGUCUGUGAGAAAAUGGUCUUGCACCCGGGAUAAGUGGUAUAGAGUGAUCACAAACUCUCUCUGGAGGUAAUCUAGUGGGAAUAGCAAAUACAUCCUUGUACUCAUCCAGCAGUUCCUAAAUUUCAGGUAAGACAGUUUGAGCAUUUUCAUCAGUAAUGACAAACGGCUCUAUGAUGGUAUAAGCAAAUUCCACAGGUGUUGCCCCUUGGAUUGUUACUGUUUUUCCAUGCAAAGGAAAAGACAUCCAUUGCUGAUCCCAGUCCACAGUCAUUGGACUAUGUUUUGCCAACCAGUCCAUUCCCAAUAUUCCAUCAUAACAACUAAGAGGAAAAAUCUUGAGAUCAUGCUCGAACUAGACACCAUGCACUGACCAAUUGCAUUUUGGAACAAAACUGGAAUAGCUCAUUAUAUGUCCAUUAGCCACCUUGACCUUCAUUGUUGGACAUGUCUGUACUUCUGACAGGAGGUUAGCUGAAUCCAGAUCCAGGAAUGAGUGUGUGCUACCAGAGUCGACUAGAAAUAUUUUCUGCUGUUCAUGUAUAGUAACUGUCAACUGAAAUGCCUUACUACGAGCAGAUCUUCCUUCAGCUGCUUCUGAUAUGGCCAUUAAAUUGACUUCAUCAUCCUUGUAUGAUCCCAGUUCCUCUGAAGAUGUGCAUUGGAAGAACUCCACCAUUUCCUACACCACAUGAAGGGACACUGUUUGUUUGCACUGAUGAUCUCGGCUCCAUUUUUCUCCACACAUAAAGCACAGGUCCUUGGCCUUACGGUAAGAUCUUAGAGCCUCCCACUUAUCUUCCCCCAUUUUGUUUUUUUGUACAUCUGAACUAUUGCGCCUGUCGUCGGUGGUUUUGCUAGCCACUGGCUUAGUAGUGGACACUGGGUGUGAAAAUUGUUGACGCCUGUUCGAUUGAUGAUACUGAGGAGUCGAGCUGGUUAGGGAUUCAUGCAACAACGCUAAUUCAUAAGCAGCAUCCAAAUCUGUCGGCUGUUGUAGUGCCACCAAAACUCUGACAGAAGGAUUCAGACCAUCGAUGAACUUGGUGACAUAGUGCACUGAUUCAGGUACCGCUUCGUAUGCAGACAAUUGAUCAUAGAACUCAGCAAAUUGCUCCACAUAAUCCUCCAUUGAACCUGUCUGAGCAAUGUUGUAGAACUUGCGCACCAGCGCCUGAUGCUGGUUGUGCCGAAAUCUGCACUGUAGUAACCUGCAGAAAUCCUCCCACGGCGCAUUUGGCACUCUACGCUGAACCGAUUCCAACCAUCGUGUUGCUGGCCCUUCGAACAAGGUAGACGUAAAUUGGACCCAGAGUUGCCAUGGUGUACCGCUCAUGCUAAAGUAAUAUUCGCAUCUUGUUUGCCAGAGCCUCGGAUUUGAACCAUCGAAACGGGGUAGGUCGAUGCGAGGGCCAAAACCAUAUGAAUCCGAAUUUUCUCAUUGCAAAUAUGUUAACCGCGAAUUGAGUACGGAGCUCUGAUCUGGUCUCGUACCUCUGGCCGGUGGCCGAACAUAAGGGACAUGAUCCUUUCCCUUGGCUGAAGUAGCUCUGCGGCUGCCCUCCGGUGCCGCGUCUACGUUGUUGUACGCACCUUGCUCCGCCUGCGAAGGCCGUCCGGUAGGAGUCGUCAUCGGAGCGGCAGGCGGUCGAUCCAGGCCGGCGCAGAGCUCGUCCAUGUCCACACCGAUCGACAUCUUGAGGUCGUCGAUGCGCAUCGUCAGAUCCCCCACGAUGGAGCGCAUCGACUUCGUUGUCUCUUCAUCCUGUCGCUUGAAUCGGGUGUCGAGGGAUUCCGCUAGGUCGGCCUUGAGGAAUUCAUACACCGCCUUCAUCGCCGGUGAUAAGCUCUCCAUCACUUCCCGGUGGCGUCUCGCCACAAAUCUCGUCGCGUGCGGGUGAUGGAGGGGAACUGGCGGUGCCAGGAUCUAGGGCUCUGAUGCCAAUUGUAAGCACGAACUAGAAUCUCUCUCGAGUAGCUAUAGAUUGAUCGGAAUUCAAAUUUUCAUGAGAGUUCAACGAGAGGGGAGGAGAUUACAGCCAAUCCUUACAAGCCAACUAUCCUAUCCAUUCCGGCCGAAGCCGCCAGCCACCUGUUACAGAACCACUACAGCAGUAUAUAAGUAAUGACUAGCGGGCCCAUUCCGGGCCGCGCAAUCUCGCUGGAGCCUGGGCUCUCCUCUUGGGCCUGGCCUGCUCUGCGCUUGUCGGAUUCUCCUGUAGUGGUUCCUGUCUUGCCGUCUCCUAUAGCGAUUCAGCUAUUGUCGCUGUAGUAUCUUCAGUGCCACUGACAGGGUUGGCGUAGUGGGAGUCGCGUGGGGCAUCAGAUGCCUCGUCUGGUCAGGCACGCGAGCGUGGGGUGGAGGCGCGGUGGUGAUGCGGUGGCGCUGGUGGCUGGAUGGAUGGACGGUGUGUGUUGGUGGUGGCGUGGAGAGGGAUUGGUGCUGGUGGAUGCUGGUGAUGGCGCGGUGGCGUGCCGCCAUGCCGGCCUGGCCGCAGCGGCGGCCAGUGGUGGAGAAGGUGGGGUGAGGGAGAUGGAGAUAUGCUAGGCCCGAUUUGGGAAUGGAUCACCGCUAGGGAUUUUGAUCCCCCCCUGAUCUGCCACUUUUACUCUUUGUCCCUUCUCUUCUCAACUUUCUACACAAGAAGAUCCUCCCGCUUCUUUAUCUAGCCCCCUGGUUACUUCUUUUCAUCUCACACAGGUCUCUUCUCUUCUCUUCUCUUCUUCACUCUUCCCGAUAGCCGCAUAGACGGAAUCUUGACGAUUAUUAGUGCCUUUGCGCACAUUUCUGCACAAUUGACCAUAGACUAGUAAAUGAUCUUUUUGUUAUUAUCAUUCAAAUAUGCAACAGUUCAUAGCAAGAAUUGAUGGUCAGAUCACAAUAUAUGGUAUAUUUGAGUGCCAAAUUAUAUAAGUGAAAUGUGCUUAUCAAGUUCCCUCACACUAGAAUCUUUACUUGUCCUCAAGUAAAGGCAUAUGACACGAACUCGAUGGUGAAUAGAAAACUGGCCAGAGAAUGCCAAGUGAAGUAGAUCUCUAAACAGUGCAUGCUUUGGACUUAGCUAGUGAAAAUUAAUGGUUAGGAGUGCUUCAAAGCGGUAGGAUACUAGUAGACUUGACCAUUUUAAACUUUUACAAUGAUAAAAGAAGAUCAACUAGUUCAAAUGAUGAUUGUGCCAAAGGUUCCUAAAGAGAGCAUGACCCCGAGAACAAAAAGAACAUAAACUUGUGAUCAGAUCACUUAUUUACAGAAAUAAAGCAAUGAUACUAUUUUAUCGAUCUCACCAAAGGAACAUACCACCGAUCCCGAGAACAUGGUAUACACCCGGCUCGACUAAUUAUUAGUUUUUUUGUUUGUCUCCCCAAAGGAACAUACCACCGAUCCAGAGAACAUGGUAUACACCUGGUUCGACAAUUACAUUUUUAUUAUUAAUUACUGCCCAAGCUAACCCGAUUUCACAUGCCACCGAUCCAGGGAACAUGACAUGCUACUGUAGGUAGUCAGACUUAUUUAUUCAUUAUUACUUAUCUUAAAUGAACAACGCAUAAGCACAAAAAACAGGAAUCAUCACUUCUCCAUGUCUGGUUCACAUGCUACCGAUCCAGGGAACAUAGCAUACUAGUCCAUAGUGGUGAAGUGAUUGCUCUCAAUAGGAACACAAUAGGCACAAACUCAGCAUCUAACACUUAAUGAUCUAAGUGUAUCAAGGUAAAAGCAGAAAAUGAUUAGGUUCACUAGUGCACUAGGGAUUUGAGCACUCCAAACUAAUAGCUUUCACUACUUUCAGCAGAGCAAAUAGGGUGUAGAUCACUAGUUUACAAGGCAUUCAACAAUCAGUUCGCAUAUUCUCAUCAAGCACCAUAUGUCAAAGGUGAAAUUCAGUGGGACAACAUUUAAGAAAUGGCACAAGCAACCCAAAUAGCAAUUCAAUUCAGCAAGCAGCAAUGGAUGAUGAUUCCAAAAUGGGUCAUGAAACAGCUCACCGGGCUUUGAUGAUGUAGCACUUGCUCAAUCACUCUCUAAACUGCACCUAUUCUCCUUUUGCUUCUCUAUCCUCAUGGAGUCUCCAACUUCACUCUUCAUAUGUGCCCUUGCUUCUCCUCAUCACCAUGCCAUGGAUCCACCUGGGUCCCAAGGGAUGUCACCUCGAACCUGGUUAGCAUGAAGUGAACGGUGCAGAAGCAAAAACCUGAAAGAACACUCCACAAAAGUGACAAUGCAAGUGGUAGGGAUAAUACCCUCCAAGUCAUCAGUCGAGUAUCCAAUUACAUAAGCAUAGCUAUAAAGCACAUGUUUAGGAUGGUAGAAAUUAGUAAGGUCAACACUCACAUGAGGAUGACAUUUAUCAUUAAGCUCAAGACUAGCAUGGGAAUGAUAUGUUUCAUUAAGCAUAGGACUAGCACGAGGAAAGUAACUAUGAUCAUCACAAAUGAGAGUAAUGCCACUAACAGGGUAUAUAUCAAUGAUCGAGUGUAAGUACAAUGGGGGUUUUACGCCCAAACUGUGAGUGUCGUGUUCUCCAUAGGGACUAGGCGAUCAGUGAUGUCUAGUACACAACCUUCUUCUUGUAGACGUUGUUGGGCCUGCAAGUGCACAGGUUUGUAGGAUAGUAGCAAAUUUCCCUCAAGUGGAUGGCCUAAGGUUUGUCAAUCCAUGGAAGGCGUAGGAUGAAGAUGGUCUCUCUCAAGCAACCCUGCAACCAAAUAACAAAGAGUCUCUUGUGUCCCCAACACACCCAAUACAAUGAUAAAUCGUAUAGGUGCACUAGUUCGGCGAAGAGAUGGUGAUACAAGUGCAAUAUGGAUGUAGAUAUAGGUUUUUGUAAUCUGAAAAUAUAAAAACAGCAAGGUAACUAAUGAUAAAAGUGAGCGUAAACGGUAUUGCAAUGGUAGGAAACAAGGCAUAGGGUUCAUACUUUCACUAGUGCAAGUUCUCUCAACAAUAAUAACAUACUUGGAUCAUAUAACUAUCCCUCAACAUGCAACGAAGAGUCACUCGAAAGCCACUAAUAGCGGAGAACAAACGAAGAGAUUAUGGUAGGGUACGAAACCACCUCAAAGUUAUUCUUUCGGAUCAAUCUAUUCAAUAGUUCGUACUAGAAUAACACCUUAAGACACAAAUCAACCAAAACCCUAAUGUCACCUAGAUACUCCAUUGUCACCUCAAGUAUCUGUGGGCAUGAUUAUAUGAUAUGCAUCACACAAUCUCAGAUCCAUCUAUUCAACCAACACAAAGUACUUCAAAGAGUGCCCCAAAGUUUCUACCAGAGAAUCAAGAUGAAAACAUGUGCUAACCCCUAUGCAUAGGUUCAUGGGCGGAACCCGCAAGUUGAUCACCAAAACAUACAUCAAGUGGCACGUGAUAUCCCAUUGUCACCACAGAUAAGCACGGCAAGACAUACAUCAAGUGUUCUCAAAUCAUUAAAGACUCAAUCCGAUAAGAUAACUUCAAGAGAAAAACUCAAUUCAUCACAAGAGAGUAGAGGGGGAGAAACAUCAUAAGAUCCAACUAUAGCAAAGCUCGCGAUACAUCAAGAUCGUGCCAUAGAGAGAACACAAGAGAGAGAGAUCAAACACAUAGCUACUGGUACAUACCCUCAGCCCCGAGGGUGAACUACUCCCUCCUCGUCAUGGAUAGUGCCGGUAUGAUGAAGAUGGCCACCGGUGACGGGUUCCCCCUCCGGCAGGGUGCCGGAACGGGCUCCCGAGAUGUUUUUGGUGGCUACAGAGGCUUGCAGCAGCGGAACUCCCGAUCUAUCUUCGUCUUCGAUGUUUUUAGGGUACGUGGACUUAUAUAGGCGAAAGAAGUCGGUCGGGGGAGCCUCAAGGGGCCCAGGAGAUAGGGGCGCGCCCUCCUAUCUCAUGGCUUCCUCGAGCCUUCCCUGGCUUGAACUCCAAGUCUCCCGGAUCAUAUCCUUUCCAAAAAUCACGCUCCCGAAGGUUUCAUUCCAUUUGGACUCAGUUUGACAUUCCUUUUCUUCGAAAUACUGAAACAGGCAAUAAAACAGCAAUAUGGGUUGGGCCUCCAGUUAGUAGGUUAGUCCCAAAAAUGAUAUAAAUGUGUAAAAUAAAGCCCAUAAACAUCCAAAAGGGGUAAUAUAAUAGCAUGGAACAAUCAAAAAUUAUAGAUACGUUGGAGACGUAUCAAGCAUCCCCAAGCUUAAUUCCUGCUUGUCCUCGAGUAGGUAAAUGAUAAAAACAGAAUUUUUGAUGUGGAAUGCUACCUAGCAUAAUUCUUAAUGUAAUUUUCUUUAUUGUGGCAUGAAUGUUCAGAUCCAAAUGAUUCAAGAUAAAAGCUUAUAAAACAUAAAAAUAAUAAUGCUUCGAAGCGUACUAACAAAUAAUCUUGUCCUAUCAAAAUAGCAUAGUGAAAGAAAGCUUAUCCCUACAAAAUCAUAUAGUUAGGCCAUGCUUCAUUUUCAUUACACAAAAUACUCCCAUCAUGCACAACCCCGGUUUCAGCCAAGCAAUUGGUUCAUACUUUUUAACGCGCUUCAGCUUUUUUCAACUCUUACGCAAUACAUGAGCGCAAGCCAUGGACAUAGCACUAUGGUGGUAUAUAGUGGUGGUUGUGAGGACAAAAAGGGAGAAGAUAGUCUCACAUCAAGUAGGCGUAUUAACGGGCUAUGGAGAUGCCCAUCAAUAGAUAUCAAUGUGAGUGAGUAGGGAUUGCCAUGCAACGGAUGUAGUAGAGCUAUAAAUGUAUGAAAGCUCAACAAAAGAAACUAAGUGGGUGUGCAUCCAACUUGCUUGCUCACGAAGACCUAGGGCAUUUUGAGGAAGCCCAUCAUUGGAAUAUACAAGCCAAGUUCUAUAAUGAAAAAUUCCCACUUAGUAUAUGAAAGUGACAAUAUAGGAGACUCUCUAUCAUGAAGAUCAUGGUGCUACUUUGAAGCACAAGUGUGGAAAAAGAUAUAGUAGCAUUGUCCCUUCUCUCUUUUCUCUCAUUUUUUUCUUUUCUCUCUUUUUUCUCCUUUGGCCUUUCCUUUUUUUUUCUUUUUGGCCUUUCUCUUUUUUUUUCUUUUUUUUUCUUUUUAAAGUCCGAAGUCUCAUCCCGACUUGUGGGGGAAUCAUAGUCUUCAUCAUCCUUUCCUCACUGAGACAAUGCUCUAAUAAUGAAGAUCAUCACAAUUUUAUUGAUUUACAACUCAAGAAUUACAACUCAAAGCUAGAACAAGAAAUGACUAUAUGAAUGCCUCCGGCGGUGUAUCGGGAUAUGCAAUGAAUCAAGAGCGACAUGUAUGAAAAUUAUGAAGGUGGCCUUGCCACAAAUACGAUGUCAACUACAUGAUCAUGCAAAGAGCAAUAUGACAAUGAUGAAGUGUGUCAUAAUAAACGGAACGGUGGAAAGUUGCACGGCAAUAUAUCUCGGAAUGGCUAGGGAAAUGCCAUAAUAGUAGGUAUGGUGGCUGUUUUGAGGAAGAUAAAUAAUGGGUGCAUGAUACCGGCGAAAGUUGCACGGUAUAAUAGAGGCUAGCAAAGUGGAAGGGUGAGUGUGCGUAUAUCCAUGGACUCACAUUAGUCAUAAAGAACUCAUAUACUUAUUGCAAAAGUCUACUUGACCUCGAAGCAAAGUACUACUACGCAUGCUCCUAGGGGAAGGGUUGGUAGGAGUUAACCAUCAUGCGAUCCCGACCUCCACUCAUAAGGAAGACAAUUAAAAGAGCACCUCAUACAACAAAUUUGUCAAACAACUUUUACCAUACGUGCAUGCUACGGGACUUGCCAACUUCAACACAAGUAUUUCUCAAUUUCAUAAUUACCCACUAGCAUGACUCUAACAUUACUACCUCUAUAUCUCAAAACAAUUAUCAAGCAUCAAAUUGAUCCUAGUGUUUUAUGCACUUUCUAUGAUAGUUUUUAUUAUACCCAACUUGGAUGCUCAUCAUUCUAGGACCAAUUUUAUAACCAUAGAAAAUACCAUGCUGUUCUAAAAGACUCUCAAAAUAAUAUAAGUGAAGCAUGAGAGACUAGCAAUUUCUUCAAAAUUAAGCCACCGCCGUGCUCUAAAAGAUAUAAGUGAAGCACUAGAGCAAAAACUAUCAAUCUCAAAAGAUAUAAGUGAAGCACAUAGAGUAUUCUAGCAAAUUCUAAUCAAGUUGGCUUCUCCCAAAAGGUGUGUACAGCAAGGAUGAUUGUGGUAAACUAAAAAGCAAAGACUAAUAUAAUACACGACACUCCAAGCAAAACACAUAUCAUGUGGCGAAUAAAAAUAUAGCUCCAAGUAAAGUUACCAAUGAACGAAGACGAAAGAGGGGAUGCCUUCCCGGGGCAUCCCCAAGCUUAGGUUUUUGGCUAUUCAUGAAUAUCUUGGGGUGCCAUGGGCAUCCCCCAAGCUUAGGCUUUUGCCACUCCUUAUUCCAUAGUCCAUCAAAUCUUUACCCAAAACUUGAAAACUUCACAACACAAAACUCAACAGGAAAUCUCAUAAGCUCCGUUAGUGAAAGAAAACAAAACCACCACAUAAGGUACUGUAAUGAACUCAUUCUUUAUUUAUAUUGGUGUUUGAUCUAUUGUAUUCCAAGUUCUCUAUGGUUUAUACCACUUAAUACUAGCCAUAGAUGAAUCAAAAUAAGCAAACAACACACGAAAAACAGAAUCUGUCAAAAAUAGAACAGUCUGUAGUAAUCUGUAUCAAACGUAUACUUCUGGAACUCCAAAAAUCCUACUCCCUCCAUUCCAAAUUACUCGUUGCUGAAAUGGAUGUAUCUAAAACUAAAAUACAUCUAGAUACAUCCAUUCGUGCGACAAGUAAUUCGGAACGGAGGGAGUACCAAAUUAGGAAGUCCUAAGAAAUUUGUGUAACAAUCCAGAGAAAAAAGAAUAAUAUCAGAAGCACGUUUCUGUGAAUUAACAAAACUAAUUUACUGGGUGCAAAAGUUUCUGAUUCUCAGCAGGAUCAACACAACUAUCACCGUAAGCUAUCCUAAAGGUCUUACUUGGUACUUUAUUGAAAGAAAAGCUAUAAAACAUGAUUACUACAAUAGCAUAAUCAUGUGGACACACAAAAACAGUAAGGGUAAAUAUUGGGUUGUCUCCCAGCAAGCACUUUUCUUUAAUGCCUUUCUAGCUAGGCAUGAUGAUGACAAUGAUGCUCACAUAAAAGAUAAGAAUUGAGAUAUAACGGGGGCAUCAUGAGGAAUAUGACUAGCACAUUUAAGUCUAACCCACUUCCUAUGCAUAGGGCUUUUGUGAGCAAACAACUUAUGGGAACAAUAAUCAACUAGCAUAGGAAGGUAAAACAAGCAUAGCUUCAAGAUUUUCAACACAUAGAGAGGAAACUUGACAUUAUUGCAAUUCCUACAAACAUAUAUUCCUCCCUCAUAAUAAUCUUCAGUAGCAUCAUGAAUUAAUUCAACAAUAUAACCAGCACCUAAAGCAUUCUUUUCAUGAUCUACAAGCAUAGAAAAUUUACUAUUCUCUAUAUAAGCAAAAUUCUUCUCAUUCGGAAUAGUGGGAGUAUCAUAAGAGACUUGAACACUGAAAAUUGUUUCCACAUUAAAAGGGUAAUGUUCAGAAAAAGGGUAAUCAUAAUCAUGACAAGUUGUAUAAAUAUAAUCAUCACUACUUUUUAUAGCAUAAGUUUCAUCACAAUAAUCAUGAUAAGUAGCAACUUCGUUCUCAUCAUAAUCGAUUGAAACCUCAUCCAAGGUAGUGGAGUCAUCACUAAAUAAAGUUGACACUCUUCCAAAUCCACUUUAAUAUUCAUCAAAAUAAGAUUCGACAUCCUCCAAAAUAGUGGGAUAACUACUUCCUAAAGUUGAGACUCUUCCAAACCCACUUUCAUCAAUAUAAUCAUCAUAGGUAAGAGGCAUGCUAUCAUCAUAACAACUUUGCAUAUCAAAACUUGGGAGGCUAAAAAUAUCAUCUUCAUUAAACAUAGCAUCCCCAAGCUUGGGACAAACAUUAAUUUCAGCAAAUAUAUUCUCAAAUAUUUCAUCCUUUUCAAACAUAGCUUCCCCAAGCUUGGGCCUUUUCGUAUCAUAAGCAUAAUCACUCUCAUCAUUAAAAAUAUGGAUAGCACCAAUAGUAUAGCAAUUAUCAUCAUCACAAUGAGUAGUAGGAGCAACAUCAUUUGGAAGGGAUACCAUUCUACCUUUGUUGCUCCUUCUUUUCUUUUUCUUCUUCACAUUAUGUGUGGGUUCAACCUUCCUCUUUGAGCUCCUUAUUGACGAGAUUGGUUGAAUAGAAAGCUCCUCCUUGUUACCUGAUUAAUCAUAAGAAAUAAUAGGAGGAGAUUGGGAAGUCUCUUCCCUUUCAUUAGUAUUCUCUUCAUCUUCUAAUUGCUUUCUUUUCUUUAGGUGAUUGGCAAUAUAAGGAUUUUCAAUGCAAUUCACCGCACAAAACAAAUAAAUCUCCUCUAAAUCAAUAUCAAGGAAAUACUCAAGAUUAAAUUUUGGAAUAAGCUUACUUGCACGUUUCAAUUCUUCAUAACCCAAAAGCAAACUAAGUUCAUUGUAAUGAGCAAGGGAGAUCAAAUCAUCACAAUUUUUGGACACGAUUCGAUCAUGAAACAAUUUGCAUUGGAGAUGUAAAUGAUCACGUUCAUUGCAAAGUUCACAACGGUAAAGAUACCUUAAAUUCUCAGCACUCUUGUCUAGCCUUUCUUGCAACCCUUUAGUUUCUAAAUACUUAUGCCUCUUGCAAUAUCUAUUUUCUCUAUUUGGUGUGUCCAUGCAAACCCAAUGCUCUCCACAAAAAACGACAUGCUUAUAGGAGACAUUUUCAUCACAACUAGUGCAAUCAUCAUUAUUAGUAUGGAUAUUCAAUGAGUUCAUACUAACAACAUUGCAAUCAUGAUCAUCAUUAAAAGAUUUAGUAUCAAACAUUCUAUAGAUUUCUUCUUCUAGCACUUGAGCACAAUUUUCCUUUUCAUCAUACUCGCGAAAGAUAUUAAAAAGACGAAGCGUAUGAGACAAACUCAACUCCAUUUUUUUUGUAGUUUUCUUUUAUAAACUAAACUAGUGCUAAAACAAGAAACAAAAAGAUUCUAUUGCAAGAUCUAAAGAUAUACCUUCAAGCACUCACCUCCCCGACAACGAUGCCAGAAAAGAGCUUGCUGUCUACUACACAACCUUCUUCUUGUAGACGCUGUUGGGCCUGCAAGUGCACAGGUUUAUAGGACAGUAGCAAAUCUCCCUCAGGUUUAUCAAUCCAUGGGAGGCGUAGGAUGAAGAUGGUCUCUCUCAAGAAACCCUGCAACCAAAUAACAAAGAGUCUCUUGUGUCCCCAACACACCCAAUACAAUGGUAAAUUUUAUAGGUGCACUAGUUCGGCGAAGAGAUGGUGAUACAAGUGCAAUAUGGAUGGUAGAUAUAAGUUUUUGUAAUCUGAAAAUAUAAAAACAGCAAGGUAACUAAUGAUAAAAGUGAGCGUAAACGGUAUUGCAAUGGUAGGAAACAAGGCAUAGGGUUCAUACUUUCACUAGUGCAAGUUCUCUCUACAAUAAUAACAUACUUGGAUCAUAUAACUAUCCCUCAACAUGCAACGAAGAGUCACUUGAAAGCCACUAAUAGCGGAGAACAAACGAAGAGAUUAUGGUAGGGUACGAAACCACCUCAAAGUUAUUCUUUCGGAUCAAUCUAUUCAAUAGUUUGUACUAGAAUAACACCUUAAGACACAAAUCAACCAAAACCCUAAUGACACCUAGAUACUCCAUUGUCACCUCAAGUAUCCGUGGGCAUGAUUAUACGAUAUGCAUCACACAAUCUCAGGUUCAUCUAUUCAGCCAACACAAAGUACUUCAAAGAGUGCCCCAAAGUUUCUACUAGAGAGUCAAGACGAAAACGUGUACCAACCCCUAUGCAUAGGUUCAUGGGCGGAACCCGCAAGUUGAUCACCAAAACAUACAUCAAGUGGCACGUGAUAUCCCAUUGUCACCACAGAUAAGCACGGCAAGACAUACAUCAAGUGUUCUCAAAUCAUUAAAGACUCAAUCCGAUAAGAUAACUUCAAGAGGAAAACUCAAUUCAUCACAAGAGAGUAGAGGGGGAGAAACAUCAUAAGAUCCAACUAUAAUAGCAAAGCUCGCGAUACAUCAAGAUCGUGCCAUAGAGAGAACACGAGAGAGAGAGAGAGAUCAAACACAUAGCUACUCGUACAUACCCUUAGCCCCGAGGGUGAACUACUCCCUCCUCAUCAUGGAUAGCGCAGGGAUGAUGAAGAUGGCCACCGGUGAUGGGUUCCCCCUCCGCCAGGGUGCCGGAACGGGCUCCCAAGAGGUUUUUGGUGGCUACAGAGGCUUGCGGCGGCGGAACUCCCGAUCUAUCUUCGUCUUUGAUGUUUUUAGGGUACGUGGACUUAUAUAGGCGAAAGAAGUCGGUCGGGGGAGCCUUGAGGGGCCCAGGAGAUAGGGGCGCGUCCAGGGGGGUGGGCGCGCCCUCCUAUCUCCUCGCUUCCUCGAGUCUUUCCUGGCUUGAACUCCAAGUCUCCCGGAUCAUAUCCUUUCCAAAAAUCACGCUCCCGAAGGUUUCAUUCCGUUUGGACUCCAUUUGAUAUUCCUUUUCUUCAAAAUACUGAAACAGGCAAUAAAACAGCAAUAUGGGUUGGGCCUCCGGUUAGUAGGUUAGUCCCAAAAAUGAUAUAAAUGUGUAAAAUAAAGCCCAUAAACAUCCAAAAGGGGUAAUAUAAUAGCAUGGAACAAUCAAAAAUUAUAGAUACGUUGGAGACGUAUGAAUUAGCGACUACGCUCGGCUAAAGCUAGGUGACACUAUAUUGGGAGAUGGAAACAUCAAAUAAACCUAAACUAUCAAUGAUUGUCACAAAAGAAAAUGAAAAAAAGCAUAGGGAGAUUCAGAUUUUACUCACUGUCUUUUUGGUAUUUUGUUUUAUUUGAGAAAGUGAACAAAAGGGUAGAAACAAUACUAUGACAGAUAGAAAUAUAUCACAACACAAACAUGUCUAUUCUCGCAUGAACAUAGUUAACACAAGGACUACAGAACACACAUCACACAUAUGCGAACAGGGGAGUUACAUGACAUGAUUCUAGUGCUCACAAAUCAACAAAAUGAGUAGUACUAAACAAUCACAAGUCAAGAAACAAACACAUAGGGGAUCACACACAGAUACUAGAAGAUUACUAUAUCACAGAGCAUAUCACACAUACUAAAUAUUGUCCAAACAGCUAGACAGUAACUAGUUAGAGCACAUAAUAAAAUGCACUAUAUUUUACAAGUACGAAACUAAACAAUUGUCAGGUUGCAAGCUCUUAUCAGAUCUGAAUAUUACAUGUACUAAACAUCUCUAGGGAUUUUGAUCCCCUCCCUGAUCUGCCACUUUUACUCUUUGGCCCUUCUCUUCUCAACUUUCUACACAAUAAGAUCCUCCCACUUCUUUAUCUAGCCCCCUGGUUACUCCUUUUCAUCUCACACGGGUCUCUUCUUCUUAUCUUCUCUUCUUCACUCUUCUCGAUAGCCGCAUAGACGGAAUCUUGACGAUUAUUAGUGCCUUUGUGCACAUUUAUGCAAAAUAGACCAUAGACUAGUAAAUGAUCUUUUUUUGUGAUUAGCAUUCAAAUAUGCAACAGUUAACAAGAAUUGGUGGUUAGAUCACAAUAUAUGGUAUAUUUGAGUGCCAAAUUAUAUAAGUGAAAUGUGCUUAUCAAAGGUAUACACAAGAGGGGAGAAUUCUGGCAGCUGGAAGUCUGGACGUGAAAAAGCUACGUCACGCUACCUAUUCUGCACAACUCCAAAUGAGCUGAAACUUUACAAGGAUUUUUUAUGAAAUAAAUAAGAAAGACUGGAGCAAAUAAGUACCGGAGGGGGCCACCCUGGUGAGCACAAGACACCCAGGCGCGCCCUGAUGGGUUGUGCUCAUCCAAGCCCACCUCCGGUGCCCCCCUUCUGGUACAUAAGUCAUUUUGACCUAGAAAAAAUAAUGAGAGGACUUUUGGGAUGAAGCGCCGCCGUCUCGAGGCAGAACCUGGGCAGGAGCACCCUUGCCCUCCGGCGGAGCGAUUUCGCCGAGGGAACUUCCCUCCCGGAGGGGGAAAUCAUCGUCAUCACCAUCACCAACAAUUGUCCCAUCUUGGGGAGGGCUAUCUUCAUCAACAUCUUCAACAACACCAACUCCUCUCAAACCCUAGUUCAUCUCUUGUGUUCAAUCUUCGUAUCAGAACUAUAGAUUGGUGCUUCUGGGUGACUAGUAGUGUUGAGUACAUCUUGUAGUUGAUUACUAUACGGUUAUUUGGUGGAAGAUUAUAUGUUCAGAUACAUCAUGCUAUUUAAUACCCCUCUGAUCUUGAGCAUGUUUAUCAUUUGUGAGUAGUUACUUUUGUUCUUGAGGUCACGGGAGAAAUCAUGUUGCAAGUAAUCAUGUGAACUUGAUAUGUGUUCGAUAUUUUGAUGAUAUGUAUGUUGUGAUUCCCCUAUUGGUGUCAUGUGAACGUCGACUACAUGGCACUUCAACAUAUUUUGGCCUAAGGGAAUGCAUUGUGGAGUAGUUAUUAGAUGAUGGGUUGCGAGAGUGACAGAAGCUUAAACCCUAGUUUUUGCACUAUUCCGUAAGGGACCGAUUGGAUCCAAAAGUUUAAUGCUAUGGUUAGAAUUUAUUCUUAAUACUUUUCUCGUAGUUGCGGAUGCUUGCGAGGGGGUUAAUCAUAAGUAGGAGGUUUGUUAAAGUAAGAACAACACCUAAGCACCGGUCCACCCACAUACCAAAUUAUCAAAGUAGCAAACACGAAUCGAACCAACAUGGUGAAAGUGACUAGAUGAAAUUCCCGUGUACCCUCAAGAACACUUUGCUUAUCAUAAGAGACCGUUUUGGCCUGUCCUUUGCCUCAAAAGGAUUGUGCUACCUUAUUGUACUCUUGUUACUACUACCGUUACUUGCUCGUUACAAAUUAUCUUGCUAUCAAACUACUCAGCUACUUACAAUUUCAGUACUUGCAGACAUUACCUUGCUGAAAACCACUUGUCAUUUCCUUCUGCUCCUCGUUGGGUUCGACACUCUUACUUAUCGAAAAGGCUACAAUUGACCCCAUAUACUUGUGGGUCAUCACCAAGCGAAGAUAUAGCUGUGAUGGGGUGGUGACAUUCAAUGGAAAGAUUGGUACUUGGCAUUUGUCGAGAAGAGUGAGGCUGUUAGAAUGAGUUAAAACAGAGUAUGGGGGACUAAGAACUAAAAUCAGUGAAAGUGACAAAAAUGUCUAUAAAGAUUAUCUCAUCAACAAAGUGAUCCCGGCGAUUCAAGAUAAGUGGUCCAACGAAGAUGACGGAACAAACAUCUUCAUCCAACAGGAUAAUGCCAAACCACAUGUCCUUCCUAAUGAUGAAGGUUUUCGAGAAGUUGUGGCACAAAUUGACCUGGACAUUCGAUUGUUACAAUAACAGCCUAGAGUUUAAUGUUUUAGGCCUUAUCUCUACAACUUUCUCUAGUCCCUGACCGACUGCAAAUCACCUAGAAAUGUCUACAGAGAUUAUCUCCACUCCCUAAGGAAUUGACAGGGGAAUUUCAAUAACAAUUUCUAUAACUAGCAUUUUUUAGUCACAUUUGUUGCUCUGAAUACACAAAUUUUACAAGAUUUGUGUAUGAACUAGCAAUGUUUGUUGCUCUGAAUAACUAGCAAUAACAAUUAACAAAAUGUUGUUGCCCUGAAUGAUACCAACAUGAACAAUGGAGUACAGUAACAUGAAGGUUAGCCAAGUGAUAUGCUAAUCAAGUUAACAAUGGAGUAAUAACAUGAACAAUGGAAUACAUAAAUGGUUAAUGUCCAUAAAUUUUGUCAGAUGACCAAAGAGCACUCUCCUUAUAUAUGCUCCAAGUUGUAGCACCCUCUUCAAGCAAUUGCAUUGAAAUUAAUAUUUGGUUUCUUUAGAAGAUAAAUGCAAAUGAAUGUUAAUUGUUAGUGAUGCAGAGGAAGAGGGUGUAUUUGUGUGGGAGCAUCCACUAUAUAAAGAGACCUUGUUUGCAAGUGUGACCAAAUCAUCCACAUUGAUGGAAGAAGUUGCACCUUCAAGAAAUGUUGACCACAUUGGAAUAGACAAUAUCUGAAGAUCAUAGCAUCUAAAAAAGCUUCAAUUUCAUCCUUAUCUGAUCCAGUCCAAGAAAUUAUCGCAUCAAUGUUGUCGAAGUCUGACAUUGUAGAUUCGGUUCUGGCACCCUAUGAAUAGCAUGAACAAAGGAAAGAAUCAAUAUACUCCUUGAGUUUCAACUGCCUAAAAUUUGUUUACAUGAACAAAGAAAUCUUCUGAAUUAAACUUUGAUUUAGUGAAUAGUAUGACAAAAUCUUCCUUUGCGAGUGAUCUACUAUUAGAUAGAACUUCGGUUUCAUCUGGUAAAUUUUUCGCAACAACUGUUUAGUAAAUCUUCUGAAAGUUGCAAGUUUCAUUGGAACAUAAUUUCAUUGCAAGUUUAGCUUUCAUUAAAACUUGGAAUGUUUUGAAGACGAAGUUCAUCUUGAAAAGAAGCUAAACCAUGUAUUCCUAAAACUUGCAAUGUUCCUAAAAAAUCUAAACCAUCUACCGCUCCAUCACUUUAAUCUUCUGUUUAACUGGACUUUUGUUAAAUCUAUAGAGAAAUCAUGUAGCGAAAUUUUCUGUUUGGCAGAAUCUGCAAGCCGGAGGAGAGGCGGACGGGGACAGUGGCGAGGAGGAGAGCUGGGGGGAGCUGAGCAGGGGUGCUUCGUCGCGGAGGACGGGGUCGCAAAAAUGCCACUGCGGCAUGAAGUUUUGGAUGAAGGGGAAUGAUUUUAUCCAUCUUAUCUAAUACUCUAACAAGAUUUUAUCCGCUGGUACUCGAUAUAAUUGAUGUCUACUUUAGACGGCUUAGCUGCUUCUGAACAUAUUUUCUUGCCAUUUAUAUUCUAAUUGGCUGUUGAAGAUUGUUCACUCUCAGCUGAUGCGGCUGCAUUUGCACAUGUUCUUUGUUGGACACACCAAGCUCACACUGAAUCUAUUGGAAACACAGAUGGGCAAGAAAGGCAUUUCUUUUCUAAAAUUAACUUGAUGCGGUUCAGAAUGUACACUAGGUGCUUAUGCUUUCCAAACAAGUUAACAUCUCUCAGUGGCAUCAGUGACAAAAUACAAAGAAUAAAAAUUUCUCCUCGUACGAAAUCAGAGCAUUGUAAGAACAUCUUGCUAGUACGAGUUAUUUCUAACCGUUGUAAGGAUGUGUUUGGCUGGUCCUCUUGCAUCUCUAGUUGUCUAAAUAUCAACACUCUUCUCUACUCUGCUCUUCUCUUCUCUUCUCUUCUCUUCUCUAAGCAGAGUAGGCGCAGCCAACACAUCAUUACAACUGGCUCCUGCCCAUAAAUAGCUAACUCACUGCCUCUGUGCUCACAAAUUCUUCCUUCAAAUUACAGCAAGCAACUGAAACAAACAUGCAGCUACAUUGCUGGUUCUUUGCUCGACCUCAUAAAAGCUUGCUUGUUGCCAUCACUUGUCUUUUCGCCAGAGUAACGGUAACCUACUGCAUUCACGCAUGCACUUCGAUGCCACUAGGUUGAGACGGCUGAACUAACUGAAUGAGGAUUUAAAUUUGAUUAAAGAUGACUGAUGAAUAAUAUAAUGACUUAGAAGAACAAUGACAAAAUGGAAGAUUGCAAGGAACUGACGGAUGACUGAAAGACACGACUAAUAAUUAACAAAAUUAAAUACCACAAAAAGAAGCAUUCAUUUCGACAAUAAAAAAUUACGCUAUGAACUAAAAAAUGGAAGACUGGACAUACAAUGAACAAAAUUAUACAAAACUACGUUUAUAUGUCAGCUAAAAUGAAGAUAAAAAAAUUAAUGGCUGAUCAACCAUUGUACUGAAUUAUACACAUUGAACCCUAUUAACUUCCACCUAUUUUUUUACUAGCAAUCUACAUGAAACACAUGGGGCUAUCUACAUGAAAAAACAUAAAUUACCUAGGUGAUAGUGAAAAAAAUACAAAUACCCUAUUGCUGACCUAAUAAUAAAGGGGCUAUUGACUCUGUGGUACAUUACCGAAAUUGCCUCCAAAGUUACAAAAUAUUACCCACCAAUGCCACCUAUAGAAGAGAUAAAAAAAAUUACACACGGAAAUCCCCCAUUUGGGCCGGCCCAUGCAGUAGGGACCUCCUACGCUGGGAGAAGACGCAGCGGCCUGUUUGAGCAGGCCCGUGUCCAGCUGGCCUGUUUGUAAAUUUAGUUUUUUAGGUUUUUUUCCGUUGUCGUCUUUUUCUACUUUUAAUAAUUUGCAAAAAAAUUCUGAAAAUUACAAAAAUAUAAUUUUGAUGUUUUAAUAGAUCGUAAGAUGUUUGUGGAUUGAAAAAAUGUUCGCGAUUUUGUAAAAAAUGUUUGCUUAUUUAAAAAGGUUCAAAAUUUUGAAAACAAAUGUUGAUGAAAUUGAACAAAAGUUUAACAAUUCAAAAAAUGUUCAUGAACGACAAAAUAUCCUAAAAAUUCAAAAAAAAAUCAUGACUUAUAAAUAGUAUAUUCAUUCAUAAAUUGUUUGCUGAUUCAGAAAAUGAUCAUGCACUUUAAUGAAAUGUUCAUUAAAUCAAAAAAUGUUCAUGAAUAUCAAAAAUUGUUCCACCAAUUUCCCAAAAAAUGUUCACCAAUUAAAGAAAAUUGUUUUAAAAAAUUCACCAUUUUAUAAAAAAUGUUAGAAAAUAGUAUAAUAUAUUCAUGAAUUCAAAAAAAAUGAUUUUAAAAAAUGUUCAAAAAUAUGAAAAAGUGCUCACGAAUUUGAACAUGUUUGAAAUGUCAAAUAUGUUCGAGUUUAAAAAAUGUUCAUGAUUUGAAAAAUUAUUCAUGAUUUCACGAACAAAAUUGAAAGUGAUAGUGUAUCUCAGUGAUGCAGGAGAUUAUGUGUUUUAUCCUGUUGCAGCGCACGGGCCUUUUGCUUGUAUAUUCAACGAACUGAGUCCCAAAAAUUCUACAUACAAGGUCCAUUAUCCCUCACUAGAUGGAAAGUGCGGCUUGCCGCACCACCGCACCCCUGCCGGGUGCGGUCAUAUCGAACCUGGUAGGAAAUGCGGCUUGCCUCACCCCUGCCAGGUGCGGCCAUAUCCGACUUGGUAACAAAGAAACUUGAGUAUUGCAUAUAAAAUAGAACAUAGCAAAAGCACCAUCCAUGAACCGACCCAAAAAAAAUUAGGCAUCUAUAAUGCCUCAUUUUUUAUGGGACCUUAACCAAAAGAGGUAUAGAUACUUAUAUAACAAUAAUGGUCCAGUACAAUUAAGUUUAGUUGCAUGCCACGUGCCAACCCAAUCAACACCAAUCCCAUAUAGCUCAGUACACCAUAUAAAUUCCAGGAUAGAAAGGUAUGAAGGUGGUGACGGAUAAAAGGAAAUCCAUGGCCAGUGAUAUAUCUUAAAGAAAGCAAUAACACAUAAUAUGAUCCGCAUUUAGAAAGUCAAGAGGAAAGCGCAAAAGACUUGAUGAGUCAUUUUUACAGAAGAAUGCGCUGAGGUUCAAAUAGCGGUCGGUGGAGGACGUCAUGGUAGCUCAUGGUAUAAUACAACAUGAGGGUCAUCGGUGUAGAGGCAAAUGGUUCCCAACAGCAAUUGGCACGGAGAUCCUUCCAUCAGUAAUCAAGUAAACGGUGAAUGCCUGUGGAAAAAGCAUCUGAGUAUAGGUGUUCACCUCGCUGAAUAAAGAAACAUAUGCCCAGAUAUUUUUAUGUGAAGUGCAGUAUAAACUUCAAAAUAUCAAGAGCAUUCAACUGAUCUCAAAAGCCAAAACAGGUCGUAUGAACAAAACAAAACAAACCUUUAUCUUCUAUGAAAGCCGAGUGCAAAAUGAAUAAUACGAUAAAGAGAUGGGAAUUCAAAUUUCACAAAACUAUGGAUGAUUAUGUCAUGGUACUCAAUAACCAUGUGUACACCUACAACCUGAUAAUAGCUACUCCCUCUGUUCACUUUUAUAAGACGUUUUAGACAGAUGAGAUUGAACUGUUUUGGGUGUUGUCUUAAAUGUCUAAACGGUCUUAUAAAAGUGAACAGAGGGAGUAGAUGAUAUAUACUCUCUUUUUCAUGCAUGAAAAGACCCUUUGGUGAACCUGGGCAUCGCCCUGGUACAUGUAGCAAGGGAUUUGCUAUCUCUUCAAUGCAUAGAAAGUAGAAAAACUAUUUCUAGACAAACAAAAGAAUAGUUUAUUUGUACCUCUUAUAAUUAGCAAGCAUGGUACCAUCAUAAGAACAAAAAAAUUGUACAGCAAAGGGAAAGUGUUAACUGAUUCAAGGUGGAAUUUACAAAUCUCACUCUCAUGAUGACUAAUAUAGGUUUCGAACUCUGAAAAAUAGACUGAGACCAUCAUGUUAUAGUUAUAUCCUUUGAGCAACAACAUAUAUGAAGUUUUAACAUCCUGCUAUUGUCCAUUUACGUUCAUGGUAGAUUAAACACGUUUUUCCUGCUGAAGUAUGUAUAAUAAUUCAUCAAGGGGGAAGCACAUAUCUUGAAUUAGCUUAAAAUGUUCUCAUCAAGUAACAGUUUUGAUAGUAAGCACAAUGGCUAUCACAUCCAGUCUUUAUAGUACGAAGAUCAGAAGGCUCUGCAAAAAAAAUUAGAUCUCUUCAGUAGCAGCGGAUCAACUAAACUCAAACAGAGAAAAAACUUGGUAUGUUUUAUAAGCUACUCCCUCCGUCCGAAAAUACUUGUCAUCAAAAUGGACAAAAAGGGAUGUAUCUAGAACUAAAAUACAUCUAGAUACAUCCCCUUUUAUUCAUUUUGAUGACAAGUAUUUCCGGACGGAGGGAGUACCAUAUUAUAAAGUACACCACAGCUAAAUCAGUAGAAAAUAUCUUCUGAAGUAAGCGGCAUAACCAUUUUCAACUAAAUGCAUAUAGAAUUAUAGAGAACAAAAUGGUAAGUGGCGUAUGCAUAGUAUAGUAGCUUCAGGUUGCAUACAUUUGUGAUAAACACAGAAGAGAAACCAUGUUGGCCGAUCAAGAAUACAACAAUUACAUACUUGGUUUGCACUGAUGGCAUCUUAUUGUAGAGUAACUCUGUCAAAAUGCGCCACAAAAUAAUGUAUAAAAAAUGUUGCCUUCAUUUUUUCCAAGUAUCAUUUACAUGUUCCUUAUGAGAUCUCUUUAGUGGCAGGAGAUACAAUAUUGUUUCACACUGAAAACUUCAAUUGUGAAGUAAUGACAUAUUAGUGGAGGGACCAGACCAAAUAAUUGAGAGAUUAGUCAUAACCCAAAAGGGUUGUUCUGUAUAGAACACUAAUUAGAUCAUGUGAAAUCGGAGAAAGAGUUUGACACCAACAAUAUGCAACAAAACUAUAGAUCAACAUGAUAGAACAUACAUUUGGUUCUAUCACACUCAAUCUAAUAUAAAACAUGUUCACCUUCAGAAUUUCAAUGGCUCCAUCAAAUUAUAGAAAGGGUUGUUGUACUAAUGAACAUGGGUAAUGUCAAUGUACUACAUUAUUCAAAACCCCUUUGAUCAAGUGGAUAGCAAAAUAGUACAGAAAUCUUAUGGUCACCCAAGAGAAUCAGCGUUUCAAAGUUUAAUAGCAAGCAUACCUUAUUAAACAGCAGAUACUAUUCUUCACUCCAAGAAUGAAUGCAAGGACGGCGUGCUCACAGGUCUGGUCAUUCUUGAGGUACCAUCCUCAAAACCAACGGUGGUGGAGUCAACGAUGAGCACAUCAUAGUCAACCUGGGAUAAACAAAACAAAAAGAACACAAUUUCAGCGAUAUGAGAUAGAUCAAAGAGGUAGAGUUUGAGCUGUGAAAAGAAAAUCACUACUCUGGACCAUAAUGCCAUCAUACAAGCAUUUCUUCUUUUUCUUAUCAUAAUCAAACAAAAUCAAAAGAACAUGAAUAACUUAUAUUUAAAAUUGUAUUAACUAAAUAACCUAACUACGUGUAACCUGGAUCUGCAUAGAUUAAAAGAAGGCACCUACAUGUAAGAAAACACCUUUUGUGUGAUUAAGAAUAUCCAAGUUUCUUUCUCUGUGUGUAAAUAUUUGUGAUUGCACAACUCAAGAAGGUUUUAAUCCGAAAACAGAGCAAUUCAAGCUUGAGAUUUCUAAAAUGCAGGACAUUGAAUCAUGCUCAUAAUUGAAAGAGAUUAGUGAAAUUCAAAACAAUCAAUUUAGAGAACCCGCUAAUAUAAAGACUGUUUCAGGUUUAAAAAUAAGCAUGCUCAGAACUGACCUGCCAAAACACGUCUUACCAUGCCUGUCGACAUCUGAAAUAUUCAUCAUUUGGUAUCUCUUUGAUAGUUUUCAGAUUUCCGUUUGAUUCGAGGAAAAGAUUAACUCGCCAAACUUUUCACAUAUGUCGAGGGCAGCCUUGCAGUGCAAGGACGCCUCGUCUAGUGUCGCCACUGCCUGCUUGAUCUGAAGUAGAAGGGGGUGAGAAAUAUUAGAUCAGAUGGUACAGGAUUUAUGCUGGCAAAGCAAUAUUUGGGCUUUCAUAUUUCCCAAAAGUCCUGUGAAAAUUCUUUUACAGAGUCAAAGAAAAGCAAAUCUUCUCACGAUAAAGAAACCUGCAACAUGUUUUUAAAUAUAAGCCAGAUCAUGUUAUUUCAGAAAUUUGGAAUUUAUACGACUCCUUUAAAUAAAUUCAGGUGAAAAUAACAGCACAGUUUUGUAAGGAAAAACCGAUCCGCUUGAAGUAAAGAUAUCAGUUCCAAAAAUCGUUGUGUAUCUUACUGACCAAUCACGUCCAAUUUACAAAGAAUAACACAUAGUUAUCCAAUGCGGGUCUGCCGUAAUGCACACAAUCUAUAAAUAUAUGAGUUAUCAGUAGAAGUAGUUGACAACAAACUAUAAGCACCAAAUCCUAGAACUGUUCUUGUCCAGUGCGACCAAAAGCAUGUUUAUCAAUGUAAAAACAUAAACAUAUUUGUAGUACACAGUACAGAUCUUUGGGAGUUCUGGUCUAAAAAAAUAUGAGCAUGAUAGAAAAAAAGGAAUGUGCAUAUCUAGCAAGUGGGUUGUAACAAUACCUGGGGCCAAAAAAAUAGGAAUUAAGGUCCAUAUACUGUUUGGAAACUUCACCAGUCAUCCAGUAUAAGUUGAUUAUUUAAAAUAAACGCUAAUGUAUACUGGAUGACUGGUAACACAUAAACAAGGGGGACCCUACGCACCCAAACAUGCAGCCAAAGAGUAACAGGGUUACUGGCAUUGGACAAAGAUAAUACAAUGAAGACCUCAUCUGCAGGGCACCAAAAAGUAGAGCUACGUAGUUUGGUUCGUAUAUUGAGAAGAACAAUGAUUACCUGGCCAGUGCCAACAUUGACCUGCAAUUGACCAAACAAUGAUGCUCUUGUGUUUUUUGUCAAGGAAUUUCCAAAAUAUGUGGUUCUAUCAUCUAUUGGUGAAUACUACAUGACCUGCACCAAAAUGUAUUAUAGUUCAGACCAAGUGUUUUACAAGGGAAUUUAUCACUGUCGUUCAAACUGUUGAAAAAAGUAACUUGAUAGGUUGUUCACAAGAGAGAAAAAUCACCUCCGUCCGCUAGAUUCCUGUUCUCUUCUUUCUCAGAUCUAUGCACGUCCAUUUUAGAAAGCCUAUAUAUUAGCAAGUCAAAACCAGAGUGCGGAAAUGAGAAGCAAAGAGGAGCACAUCCUAAUCUUGCAUUCCAAAAUAGCUAUACGUGAUGCUUUUCGUUGUUUUGCACUUUGCCGAGCAAGCAAAAUCUAUAACAAAAGAAAUGUACGCAUACAUAUUAGGAUGAAAUUCGUCAUAUAGAUCAAUAUAACUAAGGCAACAAAUAAUAUUUCAGGCUACUACCGUGUAUGCUUUAAAUAGUCUUUUUCACUACAAAUAAUGUUUGUUCUUUGUCAAAACAUACAAGAAUGUAAGGAACAAAGUCAUACACAAGGGGAGAGAAAUACGUCUUAUAACAUUCUUCAAGUCAAAUUUUAGUAGAUUCCUACAAGAGACUCACCAUAAAAUUGGUUCCAUUCUUUGAAUAACCACUUCAUGGAAAUCCCUUACAAUCUAUUCAGACCAAUCCAUCAACCAAAAAAUUGUAGUGUUCUUCACCGCUAAACUCUGAUUCAAUAACUGAAGGGUGUGUCUUCUGCAUAUACUAUCUUGCAUGUUUUCAGCUGUCUUUUCCCCUCCAAAUGAUAAUUUUCUCCUUGCCAAAAGACACGAGAAUGCAAGCAACAAGGUCCUGCAGAAAUAAGGUGAGAGAAAUGCAUCCUGUUACAGGUGAAGUCAAACAUAAUCAUAUAUGUGCCUAAUUAUAUCAUUAGUAUCUGUUUAAAUUGCCCGGUAGACACAUGUUAGAUGAAAAAGAAGUAUGCUGUAGGUAAUUCAAAAAAUCUAUAUAUAUCCUAGAAAAGUAAGUGAUUGUCAUUUUAUCGAAGGCUUUGGCCUGAAGCCAUUCCUUCUUUUUCUCUAGAAGACACCAAAGAAUAAAUGAUGCACGGCUAGCCUAUCGAGGCUCUUUAGCCCAUAUGGUUUCUCAUAUAACCUAGGUGUACGUCGUUCCUUUCUCUAUAGACCACAAUUUAGCUGGCGUUUGUUGUUAUUGUAGAAUUAAGAAAUCAACGGAAUGACAAAUGGAUACAUUUAACAUCACAAAAGGCCACCAAAUCUCGAAGAAAAUAAAUCGCUAAUGUAACUUGAGUACACCCCUACAAAUUAGUCUUACUUCCUGUUACAAACAAAAAUAUCAGAUUGGUCAUCUCUCCAAACCAUGAAUAAACACCAAAGCAGUUUGUGGCUCAAACAUGACACUUAACAGGAAUAUUAGAAUGCGGAAAUUAAUGACUGUAGGAAUAACAUGCCCAAGGGUAGCAAAUAAACAGAAGCUGACGAGCUUACCAACACAAAAUGAUGGACUAAAAGUGUUUAUUUAAUUUCAAUGCUCUGAAAAUACCCAACACAUACAUGCAGCAAGCAGCACAUAAAACCUCUUGCUUGGUCUAUGGUGUUAUCUUUGUGACAGAACUGUUAAUCUCCUUUCGCCUCUUCAUCCAAAUUUGCAGCCCAUGCUCCUCCUGCCAGGUCCCAAGAGGCGAUUAGGGAGGAGGAAAUGCACCAGCAGAUCGAGCUCAGAGAUGAAAAUAAAAGUGAGGAGGAAGAGGGCGUGGGCAUGGCUUACCGUCGCGAUUUGUUGCCGCUCCCCCUCUUCUGGAUCCUCCCAGCGAUGCGUGGUGAGGAAGAGAAUGGCCUCUGCAGGAGUGCCUCGCCAGAGCCGGAGAUGCAGCGGGCCUGGGACAGUUUUUGGCACCGGAUCGAUCCACUGGUGCCUGUCGGCGUCGCCUAGGGCGCACCGGUGGCAACGGCGCACUCCGCACGGUUUCCUCCCGUCGAUGGCGCGACGACCCACUGCUCCAGUGGCUGCAGUGGCUCGUGCUCCUCCUUGCCGCGUCUCCUCCGUGUGCGGCACCGACGGACUGACCGCUGCCCUGCCGCAUCUCUCCCUCCACUCUUUUCUUCUCCUCCCCUGGCACUCUCUCUCACUUUCCUCUCUAUCUCUCUCUCUUGCAGAGGAAACUGCCGGCCGCCGCAGUGAGCUCGUCGGAUCCACAGCCCCAUGCCGCCUAGCGACCGGAUCCGCCCGGAUGUGUCCAUGUCCAGACAACGCGAGUGCGGCGAGCUCGGCGGGGAGAGCAGCGGUGACGAGCUCGGUGGCGGGAGAAGAACGACGAGGAGGGGAGGAGGGGAACACGGCGUCGGAGGAACGAAGGAGAGGGGCGUGAGCACGAGGGGGAGACGGGGGCGGAGGCGAGGACGGGAGGAGAAGGGGAGGCUAGGGUUACACACGGGCGUGCGGCCUUUUAUACACCAGCCUAUGAAAAGACGAUAAUGCCCUCGGUGGAGCAUGAGAUUUACAGGCGGUGGCACAGCAAGGGUGGACACUAUUCAUUGUAGCAGUGUUUGCUAUUGAUCCGACGGCCAGGACCUCUCCAUCUCAUGAUCCAACGGCCAGUAUUGGUCCACCCGGAGAUCCAACGGCCAGGACGCGCUCGGGGAGAUGAUCCGAUGGCCCAGAAUCAAAACGGAUGAGGAGGCUUCAUUUGUAUCCACAAUCUAACAAUGGGAUGCUAAUGAAGAGCACGUACACGACACACUGAACUAACAGAAAUGGCAGAAAAAACACCACCACUUUCGACCCAAUAAAACACAUGCUAGCACAGCCCCCGUCAGCUGUCAGCUGAACCGAUGAGCAAAGAGCAAUAACUCAUUUUUACAUCAUUGACCAAAGUUAUGUCAUGUGAAAUUCAAAACAAAUAAUUCAUAUGCUAUUCUCGAGUGGAGGCGGGGUGGACAUACGAAGACACGAAGACAAACAGAUUAUAUUCAAUGCUACCAAUUUUGCUAUCGUCGCUAGGUUCGGCUGGAUGGCUACCAAUUUAUCCCCCAUCACCCCGCAUAGCUGCACUCGAACACCGAGGAGAAUCGGAUUUUGGCUCUCGGACCAGAAUGAGGAGAAUCGGAUUUUGGCUCUCGGACCAGAAUGAGGUGGCUGCUCAUCAUCUAAAAUGAAUUGAAUCAAAAAGGGAAAAGGGGAUGCACGGGCCUACACAGUGCCUUACUGGUCGUAUGCUAAAGUCAGCUACGCACGAGCCUACAGAGUGCCUUACUGGUCGUGCGCCGAAGUCAGCUCCUCCCCCCUCCCUCACACACACACACUCUUAGAAGCUCACCCCCUCUAGAAAAUGACACCCUUCAUGGGUCGGAGUCCAAACAAGGAGUGUGCGACCCACGACCUGAAUAAAAAGACCAACGGCAAAUAAACCCGACACCACUCGCGAGUGACAGACAAAUGAGGCAGCCACAAAAAUUCAACCUAAAGCCAAAUAAAAAACAGAUGACUGAUUUUUAAGUCUAUAUUUUAGCAGAGAAGAACAUCGGUGCUAACAAGAUUUAGAAACCAACGAGAUUAACUUAGGAGACGGGACGGGACAAAUUCUAACAACAAUUACACUUGCUAGAUUUUUCAUAGCAAGGAAGGAUGCAUCUCAUAGCCUGAAUCACAUGCUUCGACAUUAUGUGAAGAUUCACUAUUCAAUUAGGACAGAGUAAUUUCUAUCCACAUUCUAUGGCAAACAAUACAAAGGAGGUAACUGCGGCUCCCUCCACAUUUUUGCAUCCGGGCUUGGGACAGGCAAAGACAGUAUAAAAUAACAACAAUACAAAAACACAAGUUAUACAACACCAAUCAUUCAGCAAAGCAUACAGGCCACACCAUAAAUCAAAUGCAAUACACACAUGGUCACACAAGCACACACACAAUCAAGCACUUGCACACAAUCAAGAAAAAAGAAACAGACAUAGAUACGGACACAUCACACACACAGUCACACACACAAUGUAGAACUUGCACACAAGAAACGGACUCCCUCCACAUUUUCACAUCCGGGCUUGGGACCGGCAAAGGCAAUGUUAAGCCACAACAACCAAUCAUUCAGCAAAGCAUACAAGCCACACACACAGUCAAAUGCACAAUAUUCACACAAUCACACACACAGAGUCAAACACACAGUAACGCAUCACAGUCAAAUGCAAUAUUGACACAUAGUCAAACACACAGUGACACACACAGACAAUCAAGCCACACACACAAGAGAGUCAAGGCACACAAAGUCAGACACACAUAGAAUGGAGCGCUUGCACACAAGAAACAGAAAUAGAUAGGGGCGCAAACAGAAAGCAAAUACAUGAAAGACCGAAGUAAACUCAGAAAGCUAUAAAGAAAUACCAGAACCUGAAUGACUAAACUGAUUUCUCUCGAGGCGGGAGGGUGAUUCAGAUCUUCGUUCCUGAAAACGAUUAGAGGUUGAUUAGGUUUAUUAAGCGACUAUCUUCAACACUACCCACAAGUUUGUAGGACUAUGAACAGAAAAGGAAAGUUAAAUGUGUUCUUGUUCUACUUACUAGAGAAAGCAAGGCAUGUAACAUGAGCAAAAUUCUUAUAGAAAAUCUGGCUAAGCUAAGCCAUUCAUACCUAAAAAAUUAUACGUUUCAAGUUGACAACAGUGAUUUCCUCUCAUCGCUUCCAAGCCGGUGGCUAGCCUGAAAUGGCAUGAGCAACUUAAAAUGUGAGUGACCACAAUGUAAAUGAUUUAUUCUUGAAAGCAAGAAAAGUAGCUUACCUCAUGAGCAGCACCAACAGUCAUAUUAGAAAAGAAGAUUUAGAUGACCUGUGAUGUAAUAAGCAUCAUAUGAGUCAAAAAUACUUGGGAAUCAGUUUAUGAUCAAAGUUAUUAUCAAGGAUUCAGUUUAAAACCAGUCAGACAAACUGAUCAAAAUUCAUAAUCUGGACAUUUGAAAGGAUAGAAACUUACCGAUGAUUUUGUGUAUCUUGUAACUCCAAUAAUCCACUUGGUUUUGUCGUCUUUGACUUUAGCUAUAGGUGAGAAGAACCUAAGAACAAAUAGAAGUACCCGAUUCCUGCAAUGUUCAAAUGUGUGGUACACGUUAUGAUGUGGAAGUGGCAGGGGCUAGAAAUCUGGUAACAAAGAGGGCCAAGGCUAGGCUACAUUAUCCCAAUAAGAUCCAAGUUGUUUGACGAUACCUUCUAGGAAGAACUUUUGCUAUUUCUGCCAAUCUGUUCCCAUAUACCCGAUGGGCAUUAAUCAGUGCAUGUUCCUCCUCAAUAGUCCAAGCUUCUCUCUGUAUGUAUGAAUUAUAAAUCAGCUUCAUAUUUACCAAUCAGCUCUUCACAUAACCAGUGUGUUUCUAAAUUAGUAAACAUUCCCUGUUUGUCUUGCACAAAGGGGGAAAUGCAAAAUACAAUCCAUAAACCAUAAAAAUAACGAGAAAGCUAAUUUCCAGUCGACUGGAAAUUCGCUAACAGAUCCGAACGACCCGCCCGUCGUUGGAUCUGGAUCCCACGAUUGCCAGCGAACCCACAUCCUUCUCCCGCACCAUCGAAAAAAUUAUGCGCCGAGUGGUUGUCUAGCACACAACCUCCAACUUCACGUGCAGGCUGCCCACCAGCUGAACUAGCUCUUUUGUCUAUCUUGAAGCAGGCUAAGUUCUUUUUCUAGUCUAGUUUAAAUGGUCUUCUGAAUAAAAUGCACGUACUGAAGACACUAGUAACGACUUCCACUAAUUUAGGCCUUAACCUCUCCUAGCCCAUGCAUGCAUGCUGGAGCACACUCGCAUCUCACGUGCAUGGCGCAUAUUUGGACAAUUUUUAAUCUUACUUUAUUUUACGAGAAAGCUAAAUUCCUGCCGUCUGGAAUUUAGCAACAGGUCCACAUGCAUCACACGUCGUUGGAUCCGAUUCCUACGGUUGAGUGUACGGCCUGAUAUAAAUGCCAUUUUUUUGUUGAUUGCGCACCUCUCCCGCUAAUCCUGUGAUUUAAAUGACCACCUCCGCACUAAUAGUGAUCUAAAUUAAUUCGCGAGGCCUACCUCCCCACUAAUUCCACGAUCUCCCGCACGUCCUCUUAUGCCGAUUUUUUCUCGUGAUUGAUGGCCACCGCUAGAAAACAAGGGAUCGAGAAAAAAUAAUUUGUGAGGAGAAUGACUUGAACUUGCGACCCAUCAGACUAGGUAGCACUAUCCAAACCAUCCCAUCAAAUGAAGUUGUUUGACCGGUUUCUAUGCAUGUCAAUUUCUUUACUUGACUUAACUAGUGCUACAAAAUAGAAUGGUAAUUUUUGGAUCAGCCUAGAUUUUCUCCCAAUUUUGGUGGAUCUUGCCAUUUACUCCUUUUCCGACAAAAAAAUCUAUUUUCAUAACCUCUUUUCUUUGUUGCGAGAAUUGUUUUUUGCGAAAGCUACAAGUUGUUGAAAUAUAACCCGGUAAUUGUUUUGUGAAUGAAAUGAUAAUUUAUGAUCGUAGACUUGAUAACUUAUGUACCAUCAUCAUGAAAACUUUAGCCCAAGGAAAAGAAGUUCAUACCCCAGAAACCUCCAUGUGGAUAGCAUGGUAAUAUAAGCAUCACAAAUUUUUUAUCUCACGUGCAAACACCACAAAAAAAUUAACCCAGAAUUUUUUUUAUUGAAGAAUGUACUCCCGGUAAUUUGUGUAUAAAUAGUAUGAUAAGAUACGCAUCGCUUACUUGAUAACUUAAGUACAAACUACACAGUAACUUUGCCCGGGUGAGUUGUUGAGAAUAUACCCCGGUAACUUUCAUGUAAAUAGAUGGUAAUACACUCACAAAAUGGCUGAUAAUUCACACACGAAUACCGUGAUAACUUUUUGACCACAGGAAAAAAUUCUUGACAAACAUACACGGGUUACUGAUACGAAAAAAUAACAUGGUAAUAUACGCACAACAGAGCUGAUAACUUACCUAGUCGAAGUGUGAUAAUAUUUUGACCGGUGAAAUAACUUAUUGAAUCGCCCUCCCCGGUAACUCAUGUGCCUAGCAUGGUAAUAUACACACAACAGUGUNNNNNNNNNNNNNNNNNNNNNNNNNNNNNNNNNNNNNNNNNNNNNNNNNNNNNNNNNNNNNNNNNNNNNNNNNNNNNNNNNNNNNNNNNNNNNNNNNNNNNNNNNNNNNNNNNNNNNNNNNNNNNNNNNNNNNNNNNNNNNNNNNNNNNNNNNNNNNNNNNNNNNNNNNNNNNNNNNNNNNNNNNNNNNNNNNNNNNNNNNNNNNNNNNNNNNNNNNNNNNNNNNNNNNNNNNNNNNNNNNNNNNNNNNNNNNNNNNNNNNNNNNNNNNNNNNNNNNNNNNNNNNNNNNNNNNNNNNNNAGCAUUGUAAAUUCUGUAUAAAAGCAUGGUAACAUAUGCACAACAUACCUGAUAACUCACACACAAACAACACUGCAACUUUGACCUUGGUGUGUUUUUUGAAAACAUACCCCCGAUAACUUUCGUGUAAAUAGCUUGGUACUAUACGCACCAUAAACAUGAUAACACACGCACAAACAAGCGGUAACUUUGACCUGGGGAGGGCCGAUGAGGGGAAGUGAGGAAGUUGUUCCAAAACAUACUCUCUCCUGAUAAUUUCGGCAUAAAGCGAAAGGUAAUAUAUGCACCGUAGACUUGAUAACUCACGUAUAAACAUUGUGCUAAUUUUGACCGAGACGGGAUGAAGUUGUUUGAAAACAUACACUCGUUAACUUAUGUGUAAAUAGCGUGAUAAUAUACAAACCGCGAGCGUGAUAACUCACGCACAAACACCGCCAUAACUUUGCCCCGGUAAAAAAAGUUGUUGAACACAUACUACGGUAACUCAUGUGUAAACAACAUGAUAAUACACACACACACACACACACACACACACACACACACACAAAGGAGCUGAUAACUUACUUAGCUUGGGUCGGUAACUAUUUGCACGGAAGAAAGGUCAUCAGAACAUAUCAACAUGAGAUUUAGUUUCGUAGGUCUUGUCGCAGCAGAUUUUUUAUGUGACAAAGAUUUUUUGAUCGGACCGAUGAUUUGAGCUAUAAACUGAAGUUUCGAAAUAUGGGAGAAUGUGUGAUGAUAUCAGAUUUUUUUUCUCCCUCUAAUGCAUGCACACAUGUGCAUGGGAAGAGAAAGUUAAAGGAACCAUUUUCAUGUCCGGUAAUUUUGUAUGUAAACAACAUGAUAAUUUAUGCACAACAACAUGAUAACUUACAUUGCAUAGGCGUGGUAACUUUUUAACUGGAAAAAAAGUCGUCGGAACAUACCAACAUAGGAUCUAGUUUUGAAGCUCUCGUCGCAACGAAUCUUUUGUGUGAAAACAAUUUUUCAAUCGGACCUAACUACAGGACAUUUUUAAUUUUAUACUUUAGAUGGAAUCUUUGCUAACAUCAUUUUUUUUGUCUUUUUGCAUGCAGCUUUGUUUAUUAGAAGAAAGCAGGAAAAUUACACACGCAUGGAGCGGGUGUCUCUGCAUGCGCGGCCGCAUGCAUGAUUAGUGGAAAUUAGUCGUUCUACUUUGGGAGGUCGGAGAAGAAAGAUGGAGUAGGAUCGUGCAGAUCUGUUGCUAACGACCAGUCGACUGGUCGUGGAGGUCGGAGAAGAAAGAUGGAGUAGGAUUGUGCGGAUCUGUUGCUAACGACCAGUCGACUGGUCGUUAGCACAGUCCUUAUAAAACAAUCAAAAGAGUACCCCUCUUGACAUUUCUUGCCUAUAUGUCCACCUUGCAAUGAGACCAUUUUGUUGGUCCAUACUGCAUUUUCAGCACAAAUAUCAGGUGCCAAUAGGUAGUUAUGGAUACAGCGCAUCUAAAAACAGAAGUAGCAAAAUUUGGCUAAAUAAAAGUUUUGGGACUGUCGCAAAAUGUAAAGAACGUAAAUAUACCUGCAUUGUAUGCAAACCCAACCCAUCAACAUCAUGUCUAGAUCUACAUGGCUGUACCUUAAAUACUUAGAAAAGCGUUAUUCCAGUGACCGGACAACAAUAAUACAAAAAAGAGUAUGGUGUCCACAUAAGACAUAAUCACAAAAAAGUUUUGAAAAAAAAAUAGUGUUAGAUCUGUUCAAAUUCAACAAACAACAAUCAAUUCUGACAUAUAAAUCACAAGUUAUACAAACCACACCGUCAAGCAAAUGCAAUACACGCAUGGUCACACAAGCACACACCCAAUCAAGCACUUGCACACAAUCAAGACAAAAGAAACAGACAUAGAUACGGACACAUCACACACACAGUCACACACACAAUGUAGCACUUGCACACAAGAAACCGACUCCCUCCACAUUUUCACAUCCGGACUUGGGACCGGGAGAGGAAGUGUUAAGCCACAACAACCAACCAUUCAGCAAAGCAUACAAGCCACACACACACACAGUCAAGCCGCACACAGUCAUUGUCAAAAUACAAUACUCACACAGUCACACAUCACAGUCAAAUGCACAAUAUUCACAUAAUCACACACACACAGUCAAACACACAGUAACGCAUCACAGUCAAAUGCAAUAUUCAAACACAGUCAAACACACGGUGACACACACAGACAGUCAAGCCACACACACAAGAGAGUCAAGCCACACAAAGUCGGACACACACAGAAUGGAGCGCUUGCACACAAGAAACAAAAAUAGAUAGGGGCACAAACAGAAAGCAAAUACAUGAAAGACCGAAGUAAACUCAGAAAGCUAUAAAGAAAUACCAGAACCUGAAUGACUAAACUGAUUUCUCUUGAGGCGGGAGGGUGAUUCAGAUCUUCGUUCCUGAAAACGAUUAGAGGUUGAUUAGGUUGAUUAAGCGAUUAUCUUCAACCCUACCCACAAGUUUGUAGGACUACGAACAGAAAAGAAAAGUUAAAUGUGUUCUUGUUCUACUUACUAGAGGAAGCAAGGCAUGUAACAUGAGCAAAAUUCUUAUAGAAAAUCUGGUUAAGGUAAGCCAUUCAUACCUAAAAAAUUAUACGUUUCAAGUUGACAACAGUGAUUGCCUCUCAUCGCUUCCAAGCCGGUGGCUAGCUUGAACUGGCAUGAGCAACUUAAAAUGUGAGUGACUACAAUGUAAAUGAUUUAUUCUUGAAACCAAGAAAAGUAGCUUACCUCAUGAGCAGCACCAACAGUCAUAUUAGAAAAGAAGAUUUAGAUGACCUGUGAUGUAAUAAGCAUCAUAUGAGUCAAAAAUACUUGGGAAUCAGUUUAUGAUCAAAGUUAUCAAGGAAUCAAGGAUUCAGUUUUAAACAAGUCAGACAAACUGAUCAAAAUUCAUAAUCCAGCCAUUUGAAAGGAUAGAAACUUACCGAUGAUUUUGUGUAUCUUGUAACUCCAAUAAUCCACUUGGUUUUGUCGUCUUUGACUUUAGGUAUAGGUGAGACGAACCUAAGAACAAAUAGAAGUACCCGAUUCCUGUAGUGUUCAAAUGUGUGGUACACGUUAUGAUGUGCAGGAAAGAAUGACGAAGUGGCAGGGGCUAGGAAUCUGGUAACAAAGAGGGCCAAGGCUAGGCUACAUUAUCCCAAUAAGAUGCAAGUUGUUUGACGGUACCUUCUAGGAAGAACUUUUGCUAUUUCUGCCCAUCUAUUCCCAUAUACCCGAUGGGCAUUAAUCAGUGCAUGUUCCUCCUCAAUAGUCCAAGCUUCUCUCUGUAUGUAUGAAUUCAAAAUCAGCUUCAUAUUUACCAAUCAGCUCUUCACACAACCAGUGUGUUUCUAAAUUAGUAAACAUUCUCAGUUUGUCUCGCAGAAAAGGGGGAAAUGCAAAAUACAAUCCAUAAACCAUAAAAAUAAACCAAUCAAAAGAGUACCUCUCUUGACAUUUCUUGCCUAUAUGUCCACCUUGUAAUGAGACCAUUUUGUUGGUCCAUACUGCAUUUUCAGCACAAAUAUCAGGUGCCAAUAGGUAGUUAUGGAUACAGCGCAUCUAAAAACAGAAAUAUCAAAAUUUGGCUAAAUAAAAGUUUUGGGACUGUCGCAAAAUGUAAGGAACGUAAAUAUACCUGCAUUGUAUGCAAACCCAACCCAUCAGCAUCAUGUCUAGAUAUGCAUGGUUGUACCUUAAAUACUUAGAAAAGCGUUAUUCCAGUGACUGGACAACAAUAAUACAAAAAAGAGUAUAGUAUCCACAUAAGACAUAAUCACAAAAAAGUUUUUAAAAAAGAAUAGUGUUAGAUCUGUUCAAAUUCAACAAACAACAAUCAAUCCUGACAUAUAAAACACAAGUUAUACAAACCACACCGUCAAGCAAAUGCAAUACACGCAUGGUCACACAAGCACACACCCAAUCAAGCACUUGCACACAAUCAAGACAAAAGAAACAGACAUAGAUACGGACACAUCACUCACACAGUCACACACACAAUGUAGCACUUGCACACAAGAAACAGACUCCCUCCACAUUUUCACAUCCGGGCUUGGGACCGGCAGAGGCAGUGUUAAGCCACAACAACCAAUCAUUCAGCAAAGCAUACAAGCCACACACACACAGUCAAGCCACACACAAUCAUUGUCAAAAUACAAUACUCACACAGUCACACAUCACAGCUAAAUGCACAAUAUUCACACAAUCACACACACACAGUCAAACACACAGUAACGCAUCACAGUCAAAUGCAAUAUUCACACACGGUGACACACACAGACAGUCAAGCCACACACACAAGAGAGUCAAGCCACACAAAGUCGGACACACACAGAAUGGAGCGCUUGCACACAAGAAACAGAAAUAGAUAGGGGCACAAACAGAAAGCAAAUACAUGAAAGGCCGAAGUAAACUCAGAAAGCUAUAAAGAAAUACCAGAACCUGAAUGACUAAACUGAUUUCUCUCGAGGCGGGAGGGUGAUUCAGAUCUUCGUUCCUGAAAACGAUUAGAGGUUGAUUAGGUUGAUUAAGCGAUUAUCUUCAACACUACCCACAAGUUUGUAGGACUAUGAACAGAAAAGAAAAGUUAAAUGUGUUCUUGUUCUACUUACUAGAGAAAGCAAGGCAUGUAACAUGAGCAAAAUUCUUAUAGAAAAUCUGGCUAAGGUAAACCAUUCAUACUUAAAAAAUUAUACGUUUCAAGUUGACAACAGUGAUUGCCUCUCAUCGCUUCCAAGCUGGUGGCUAGCCUGAACUAGCAUGAGGAACUUAAAAUGUGAGUGACCACAACGUAAAUGAUUUAUUCUUGAAAGCAAGAAAAGUAGCUUACCUCAUGAGCAGCACCCUCAUGAGCAGCACCAACAGUCAUAUUAGAAAAGAAGAUUUAGAUGACAUGUGAUGUAAUAAGCAUCAUAUGAGUCAAAAAUACUUGGGAAUCAGUUUAUGAUAAAAGUUAUCAAGGAAUCAAGGAUUCAGUUUCAAACCAGUCAGACAAACUGAUCAAAAUUCAUAAUCCGGCCAUUUGAAAGGAUAGAAACUUACCGAUGAUUUUCUGUAUCUUGUAACUCCAAUAAUCCACUUGGUUUUGUCGUCUUUGACUUUAGCUAUAGGUGAGAAGAACCUAAGAACAAAUAGAAGUACCCGAUUCCUGCAACGUUCAAAUGUGUGGUACACGUUAUGAUGUGCAGGAAAGAAUGAGGAAGUGGCAAGGGCAAGGAAUCUAGUAACAAAGAGGGCCAAGGCUAGGCUACAUUAUCCCAAUAAGAUGCAAGUUGUUUGACGGUACCUUCUAGGAAGAACUUUUGCUAUUUCUGCCCAUCUAUUCCCAUAUACCCGAUGGGCAUUAAUCAGUGCAUGUUCCUCCUCAAUAGUCGAAGCUUCUCUCUGUAUGUAUGAAUUAAAAAUCAGCUUCAUAUUUACCAAUCAGCUCUUCAUAUAACCAGUGUGUUUCUAGAUUAGUAGACAUUCCCUGUUUGUCUUGCACAAAGGGGGAAAUGCAAAAUACAAUCCAUAAACCAUAAAAGUAAAACAAUCAAAAGAGUACCUCUCUUGACAUUUCUUGCCUAUAUUGUUGGUCCAUACUGCAUUUUGAGCACAAAUAUCAGGUGCCAAUAGGUAGUUAUGGAUACAGCGCAUCCAAAAAUAGAAGUAGCAAAAUUUUGCUAAAUAAAAAUUUUGGGACGGUCGCAAAAUGUAAAGAACGUAAAUAUACAUGCAUUGUAUGUAAACCCAACCCAUCAGCAUCAUGUCUAGAUCUACAUGGCUGUACCUUAAAUACUUAGAAAAGCGUUAUUCCAGUGACUGGACAACCAUAAUACAAAAAAUAGUAUGGUAUCCACAUAAGACAUAAUCACAAAAAAGUUUAGAAAAAAAAAUAGUGUUAGAUCUGUUCAAAUUCAACAAACAACAAUCAAUCCUGACAUAUAAAACACAAGUUAUACAAACCACACCGUCAAGCAAAUGCAAUACACGCAUGGUCACGCAAGCACACACCCAAUCAAGCACUUGCACACAAUCAAGACAAAAGAAACAGACAUAGAUACGGACACAUCACACACACAGUCACACACACAAUGUAGCACUUGCACACAAGAAACAGACUCCCUCCACAUUUUCACAUCCGGGCUUGGGACCGGCAGAGGCAGUGUAAAGCCACAACAACCAAUCAUUCAGCAAAGCAUACAAGCCACAGACACAGUCAAGCCACACCCAGUCAUUGUCAAAAUACAAUACUCACACAGUCACACAUCACAGUCAAAUGCACAAUAUUCACACAAUCACACACACACAGUCAAACACACAGUAACGCAUCACAGUCAAAUGCAAUAUUCACACAGUCAAACACACGGUGACACACACAUACAGUCAAGCCACACACACAAGAGAGUCAAGCCACACAAAGUCGGACACACACAGAAUGGAGCGCUUGCACACAAAAAACAGAAAUAGAUAGGGGCACAAACAGAAACCAAAUACAUGAAAGACCGAAGUAACUCAGAAAGGUAUAAAGAAAUAGCAGAACCUGGAUGACUAAACUGAUUUCUCUCGAGGCGGGAGGGUGAUUCAGAUCUUCGUUCCUGAAAACGAUUAGAGGUUGAUUAGGUUGAUUAAGCAAUUAUCUUCAACACUACCCACAAGUUUGUAGGACUAUGAACAGAAAAGAAAAGUUAAAUGUGUUCUUGUUCUACUUACUAGAGAAAGCAAGGCAAGUAACAUGAGCAAAAUUCUUAUAGAAAAUCUGGCUAAGGCAAGCCAUUCAUACCUAAAAAAAAUUACGUUUCAAGUUGACAACAGUGAUUGCCUCUCAUCAUUUCCAAGCCGGUGGCUAGCCUGAACUCGCAUGAGCAACUUAAAAUGUGAGUGACCACAAUGUAAAUGAUUUAUUCUUGAAAGCAAGAAAAGUAGCUUACCUCAUGAGCAGCACCAACAGUCAUAUUAGAAAAGAAGAUUUAGAUGACCUGUUAUGUAAUAAGCAUCAUAUGAGUCAGAAAUACUUGGGAAUCAGUUUAUGAUCAAAGUUAUCACGGAAUCAAGGAUUCAGUUUUAAACAAGUCAGACAAACUGAUCAAAAUUCAUAUUCCGGCCAUUUGAAAGGAUAGAAACUUACCGAUGAUUUUGUGUAUCUUGUAACUCCAAUAAUCCACUUGGUUUUGUCGUCUUUGACUUUAGCUAUAGGUGAGAAGAACCUAAGAACAAAUAGAAGUACCCGAUUCCUGCAAUGUUCAAAUGUGUGGUUCACGUUAUGAUGUGCAGGAAAGAAUGAGGAAGUGGCAGGGGCUAGGAAUCUGGUAGCAAAGAGGGCCAAGGCUAGGCUACAUUAUCCCAAUAAGAUGCAAGUUGUUUGACGGUACCUUCUAGGAAGAACUUUUGCUAUUUCUGCCCAUCUAUUCCCAUAUACCCGAUGGGCAAUAAUCAGUGCAUGUUCCUCCUCAAUAGUCCAAGCUUCUCUCUGUAUGUAUGAAUUCAAAAUCAGCUUCAUAUUUACCAAUCAGCUCUUCAUAUAACCAGUGUGUUUCUAAAUUAGUAAACAUUCCCUGUUUGUCUUGCACAAAGGGGGAAAUGCAAAAUACAAUCCAUAAACCAUAAAAAUAAAACAAUCAAAAGAGUACCUCUCUUGACAUUUCUUGCCUAUAUGUCCACCUUACAAUGAGACCAUUUUGUUGGUCCAUACUGCAUUUUGAGCACAAAUAUCAGGUGCCAAUAGGUAGUUAUGAAUACAGCGCAUUCAAAAAUAGAAGUAGCAAAAUUUGGCUAAAUAAAAGUUCUGGGACUGUCGCAAAAUGUAAAGAACGUAACUAUACCUGCAUUGUAUGCAAACCCAACCCAUCAGCAUCAUGUCUAGAUCUACAUGGCUGUACCUUAAAUACUUAGAAAAACGUUAUUCCAGUGACUGGACAACAAUAAUACAAAAAAUAGUAUGGUAUCCACAUAAGACAUUAUCACAAAAAAGUUUAGAAAAAAGAAUAGUGUUAGAUCUGUUCAAAUUCAACAAACAACAAUCAAUCCUGACAUAUAAAACACAAGUUAUACAAACCACACCGUCAAGCAAAUGCAAUACACGCAUGGUCACACAAGCACACACCCAAUCAAGCACUUGCACACAAUCAAGACAAAAGAAACAGACAUAGAUACGGACACAUCACACACACAGUCACACACACAAUGUAGCACUUGCACACAAGAAACAGACUCUGUCAAGGACCUCGGUGCCCAAGACAGCAGGACCUCGACUACGUAGUUCGUAGUCUCGGUUGAUAGGAGCGCUAGGGUUUUUGCCUAACUGCUCAAUGGUGCAGGAGAAGAGAUUAGGAGUAGAGGAGGAGGUAGGAGAUAAUGAUUUAUUGCCUGCGUCCAAGGGUGCAGAUUACAGGAUAUAUAAAGGCCUUAUGGGCUUCUAACAAACUAGGAAACUAACUACUCCUGGACUCCUAACAAACAAGGAAACUAACUAUUCCUGGACUCUAGGAACCAACGUAGGAUCAGGACUCCUUGUCCCGAUCAUGCCUCGCCAGCUGUGGCCGUCGGCUGCUGCCCCUGGGCGCGCGACCCGCGCCUGUACGCAGCGCCCCACAUGACAUCUCUCCCCCCCUCGACGAGCAGCUCGUCCUCGAGCUGAAAAGCGGGGUAGCGCUCGACAAAACUGUCAAGAUCCUCCCAUGUAGCUGAUGAUGCUGCUUCACCCUUCCAGUGGACGAGCAGCUGGCGAACGCCGCGUGCUAGUCGUGCACGAGUCACGCGCUCCGGUUCUGGAACAGCCGCCCCGUUGUGGAUCGGAGGCAAUCCCGGUGGUGCAGUUGGAGGCGUGCCGAAGAACUUCUUGAGGAGGCCCACGUGGAACACGUCAUGGUGGCGCGAGCGUGCCGGAAGCUCAAGGCGGUAGGCCACGUCGUUGACGACCUCUGAAAUGCGGUACGACCCAUAGAAGCGUGGCUUGAGCUUGCCCCUGGUUGGCAGGUUGGGAGAGGACGCGGCGCGCUGGCGAAGACGAAGCCAGACCCAAUCGCCCACGUCAUGCCGAAUGUCCCGAUGGCGUCUGUCGUAGUAGGACUUGUAGACCGCUUGUGCCUGCUGUAGACGAUAGCGGACGUCUGCGAGUAACUCGUCGCGCUCCGCCAUGCUCCUGGCCAUGCUCUGAUACCAAGUUGUCAAGGACCUCGGUGCCCAAGACAGCAGGACCUCGACUACGUAGUUCGUAGUCUCGGUUGAUAGGAGCGCUAGGGUUUUUGCCUAACUGCUCAAUGGUGCAGGAGAAGAGAUUAGGAGUAGAGGAGGAGGUAGGAGAUAAUGAUUUAUUGCCUGCGUCCAAGGGUGCAGAUUACAGGAUAUAUAAAGGCCUUAUGGGCUUCUAACAAACUAGGAAACUAACUACUCCUGGACUCCUAACAAACUAGGAAACUAACUAUUCCUGGACUCUAGGAACCAACGUAGGAUCAGGACUCCUUGUCCCGAUCAUGCCUCGCCAGCUGUGGCCGUCGGCUGCUGCCCCUGGGCGCGCGACCCGCGCCUGUACGCAGCGCCCCACAUGACAGACUCCCUCCACAUUUUCACAUCCGGGCUUGGGACCGGCAGAGGCAGUGUUAAGCCACAACAACCAAUCAUUCAGCAAAGCAUACAAGCCACACACACAGUCAAGCCACACACAGUCAUUGUCAAAAUACAAUACUCACACAGUCACACAUCACAGUCAAAUGCACAAUAUUCACACAAUCACACACACAGUCAAACACAUAGUAACGCAUCACAGUCAAAUGCAAUAUUCACACACAGUCAAACACACGGUGACACACACAGACAGUCAAGCCACACACACAAGAGAGUCAAGCCACACAAAGUCGGACACACACAGAAUGGAGCGCUUGCACACAAAAAACAGAAAUAGAUUGGGGCACAAACAGAAACCAAAUACAUGAAAGACCGAAGUAACUCAGAAAGGUAUAAAGAAAUAGCAGAACCUGGAUGACUAAACUGAUUUCUCUCGAGGCGGGAGGGUGAUUCAGAUCUUCGUUCCUGAAAACGAUUAGAGGUUGAUUAGGUUGAUUAAGCAAUUAUCUUCAACACUACCCACAAGUUUGUAGGACUAUGAACAGAAAAGAAAAGUUAAAUGUGUUCUUGUUCUACUUACUAGAGAAAGCAAGGCAAGUAACAUGAGCAAAAUUCUUAUAGAAAAUCUGGCUAAGGCAAGCCAUUCAUACCUAAAAAAAAUUACGUUUCAAGUUGACAACAGUGAUUGCCUCUCAUCAUUUCCAAGCCGGUGGCUAGCCUGAACUCGCAUGAGCAACUUAAAAUGUGAGUGACCACAAUGUAAAUGAUUUAUUCUUGAAAGCAAGAAAAGUAGCUUACCUCAUGAGCAGCACCAACAGUCAUAUUAGAAAAGAAGAUUUAGAUGACCUGUUAUGUAAUAAGCAUCAUAUGAGUCAGAAAUACUUGGGAAUCAGUUUAUGAUCAAUGUUAUCAAGGAAUCAAGGAUUCAGUUUUAAACAAGUCAGACAAACUGAUCAAAAUUCAUAAUCCGGCCAAUUGAAAGGAUAGAAACUUACUGAUGAUUUUGUGUAUCUUGUAACUCCAAUAAUCCACUUGGUUUUGUCGUCUUUGACUUUAGCUAUAGGUGAGAAGAACCUAAGAACAAAUAGAAGUACCCGAUUCCUGCAAUGUUCAAAUGUGUGGUACACGUUAUGAUGUGCGGAAAGAAUGAGGAAGUGGCAGGGGCUAGAAAUCUGGUAACAAAAAGGGCCAAGGCUAGGCUACAUUAUCCCAAUAAGAUGCAAGUUGUUUGACGGUACCUUCUAGGAAGAACUUUUGCUAUUUCUGCCCAUCUAUUCCCAUAUACCCGAUGGGCAUUAAUCAGUGCAUGUUCCUCCUCAAUAGUCCAAGCUUCUCUCUGUAUGUAUGAAUUAAAAAUCAGCUUCAUAUUUACCAAUCAGCUCUUCACAUAACCAGUGUGUUUCUAAAUUAGUAAACAUUCCCUGUUUGUCUUGCACAAAGGGGGAAAUGCAUAAUACAAUCCAUAAACCAUAAAAAUAAAACAAUCAAAAGAGUACCUCUCUUGACAUUUCUUGCCUAUAUGUCCACCUUGCAAUGAGACCAUUUUGUUGGUCCAUACUGCAUUUUGAGCACAAAUAUCAGGUGCCAAUAGGUAGUUAUGGAUACAGCACAUCCAAAAAUAGAAGUAGCAAAAUUUGGCUAAAUAAAAGUUUUGGGACUGUCGCAAAGUGUAAAGAACGUAAAUAUACCUGCAUUGUAUGCAAACCCAACCCAUCAGCAUCAUGUCUAGAUCUACAUGGCUGUACCUUAAAUACUUAGAAAAGCGUUAUUCCAGUGACUGGACAACAAUAAUACAAAAAAUAGUAUGGUAUCCACAUAAGACAUAAUCACAAAAAAGUUUAGAAAAAAGAAUAGUGUUAGAUCUGUUCAAAUUCAACAAACAACAAUCAAUCCUGACAUAUAAAACACAAGUUAUACAAACCACACCGUCAAGCAAAUGCAAUACACGCAUGGUCACACAAGCACACACCAAAUCAAGCACUUGCACACAAUCAAGACAAAAGAAACAGACAUAGAUACGGACACAUCACACACACAGUCACACACACACAAUGUAGCACUUGCACACAAGAAACAGACUCCCUCCACAUUUUCACAUCCGGGCUUGGGACCGGCAGAGGCAGUGUUAAGCCACAACAACCAAUCAUUCAGCAAAGCAUACAAGCCACACACACAGUCAAGCCACACACAGUCAUUGUCAAAAUACAAUACUCACACAGUCACACAUCACAGUCAAAUGCACAAUAUUCACACAAUCACACAAACAGUCAAACACAUAGUAAUGCAUCACAGUCAAAUGCAAUAUUCACACACAGCCAAACACACGGUGACACACACAGACAGUCAAGCCACAUACACAAGAGAGUCAAGCCACACAAAGUCGGACACACACAUAGUGGAGCGCUUGCACACAAAAAACAGAAAUAGAUAAGGGCAUAAACAGAAACCAAAUACAUGAAAGACCGAAGUAACUCAGAAAGCUAUAAAGAAAUAGCAGAACCUGGAUGACUAAACUGAUUUCUCUCGAGGCGGGAGGGUGAUUCAGAUCUUCGUUCCUGAAAACCAUUAGAGGUUGAUUAGGUUGAUUAAGCGAUUAUCUUCAACACUACCCACAAGUUUGUAGGACUAUGAACAGAAAAGAAAAGUUAAAUGUGUUCUUGUUCUACUUACUAGAGAAAGCAAGGCAUGUAACAUGAGCAAAAUUCUUAUAGCAAAUCUGGCUAAGAUAAGCCAUUCAUACCUAAAAAAAUUUAUGUUUCAAGUUGACAACAGUGAUUGCCUCUCAUCAUUUCCAAGCCGGUGGCUAGCCUGAACUGGCAUGAGCAACUUAAAAUGUGAGUGACCACAAUGUAAAUGAUUUAUUCUUGAAAGCAAGAAAAUUAGCUUACCUCAUGAGCAGCACCAACAGUCAUAUUAGAAAAGAAGAUUUAGAUGACCUGUGAUGUAAUAAGCAUCAUAUGAGUCAGAAAGACUUGGGAAUCAGUUUAUGAUCAAAGUUAUCAAGGAAUCAAGAAUUCAGUUUAAAACAAGUCAGACAAACUGAUCAAAAUUCAUAAUACUGCCAUUUAAAAGGAUAGAAACUUACCGAUGAUUUUGUGUAUCUUGUAACUCCAAUAAUCCACUUGGUUUUGUCGUCUUUGACUUUAGCUCUAGGCGAGAAGAACCUAAGAACAAAUAGAAGUACCCGAUUCCUGCAAUGUUCAAAUGUGUGGUACACGUUAUGAUGUGCAGGAAAGAAUGAGGAAGUGACAGGGGCUAGGAAUCUGGUAACAAAGAGGGCCAAGGCUAGGCUACAUUAUCCCAAUAAGAUGCAAGUUGUUUGACGGUACCUUCUAGGAAGAACUUUUGCUAUUUCUGGCCAUCUAUUCCCAUAUACCCGAUGGGCAUUAAUCAAUGCAUGUUCCUUCUCAAUAGUCCAAGCUUCUCUCUGUAUGUAUGAAUUCAAAGUCAGCUUCAUAUUUACCAAUCAGCUCUUCACAUAACCAGUGUGUUUCUAAAUUAGUAAACAUUCCCUGUUUGUCUUGCACAAAGGGGGAAAUGCAAAAUACAAUCCAUAAACCAUAAAAAUAAAACAAUCAAAAGAGUACCUCUCUUGACAUUUCUUGCCUAUAUGUCCACCUUGCAAUGAGACCAUUUUGUUGGUCCAUACUGCAUUUUGAGCACAAAUAUCAGGUGCCAAUAGGUAGUUAUGGAUACAACGCAUCUAAAAAUAGAAAUAGCAAAAUUUGGCUAAAUAAAAGUUUUGGGACUGUCGCAAAAUGUAAAGAACGUAAAUAUACCUGCAUUGUAUGCAAACCCAACCCAUCAGCAUCAUGUCUAGAUCUACAUGGUUGUACCUUAAAUACUUAGAAAAGCGUUAUUCCAGUGACUGGACAACAAUAAUACAAAAAAGAGUGUGGUAUCCACAUAAGACAUAAUCACAAAAAAAUUCAAAAAAAAAAAUAGUGUUAGAUCUGUUCAAAUUCAACAAACAACAAUCAAUCCUGACAUAUAAAACGCAAGUUAUACAAACCACACCGUCAAGCAAAUGCAAUAUUCACACACAGUAACACACAUAGUCAAGCCACACACAUAUUCACCAUCAAGCCACACACAAUCUCACACACACAGUCAAGCCCAUACACACAGUCAAGCCACACACACAAUCAAGCCACACACAUAAUCAAGCCACACACACAAAGUCAAGCCACACAGAGUCACACACACAGAAUGGAGCGCUUGCACACAAGAAACAAGGAUAGAUAGGGGCACAAAGAGAAAACUAAUACAUGCAAAACUGAAGUAAACCCAGAAAACUAUAAAGAAAGUCUAGAACUUGAAUGAGUAAAUUGAUUUCUCUAGAGGGGUGAGGGUGAUUCAGAUCUUCAUUCCUGAAAGGGAAUAGUAUAUGUUCCACUGAGACUGUCGAACCGAAGAGAAACCAUGCAGUUAGAUGAAGGAUUCUACUAACCAGUUGGAAAAGUGGGUCCUCGGGUAAAUAUUUCAAUGUGAACUCCCUUCGGCACGAGUAUCUUGGGUCGGGUAAAUAUUUCAAUGUGAACCCCCUUUGGCACGAGUAUCUUGGGUCUGUAUUACGUAGAACUCCAUGACCAUAGCCAGGAACAACCUAUGGAUGCAACCAGACAUCAGUAAUUUAUAUUUUUUGCUUGUAAGUUCAAAUAAGAUCGACAGUGAAAAGCAACCUUAGAUCUCUUGUUCAGCAUUCAACUAGAAUACUUUAAUAGUGCAAAUUUCCCAUAAACUCAUAAACAAUAGUCAAUGUUAAAUCUCAGAAUGGGCAUGCAUGCAAUGGAGGUGGUAACAACUUAAUCCAGUGAGAUUAAAAUUCUAAGUAAAUGGCGCGACUCCAUAAAGCCGCAUAGCAUUGAUGGUUUCUAAUUGGCAAAAAAGGAUCAAGAGACAAGACGAUAAUGAUGGUUACAAGUUACUGUAGCAAUUAAUGAUAAUAAGCUGAAUAAAGAAGGUAUGAGAUCACAAGACACUGAGAUGAACUAAGAGCCAAUACCUUGUACAAUGUAGCAAGAACACGAGAGCGUUGUGGGCCACAGCACCAGCCAAUAUUGUGCAUGUUAUAGCAGCAGCAAGAAACAUGUUCCAUCAAAAAAUUUGAGAAUAAAAUAUGGAGACAAUAUCAGUUCCAAACACGACUUGCUAAUAACCACUGCAGUACUUAAAAAUGAGCAUCAAGUAGGGUAAUUUAUUACAUACAGCCACUACACCGGCGCAAGGUAAAACAAAGAACCAUACAAGACAGAACAAUAAAAAGGAGUAAAUUGCAAAAGAGAGAAACAAAUCUACAACUGAAUGGAGUAAGCCUUACUCAUCCCCAAUUUGGCGUUGCUCAGAUACCCAUAGUAUCGAAUUGAAGCUUCCAAGAAUUUACUCGCAUAGCAGACCUACAAGAGAUAUAAGAAGGGAACUAAAUUUUAAUCCUUAGUUGUAGACAGAUAGAUUAUUAACUGUUUCUGAACCAACAAACCUUGUAUUAUAAUUUCAGAACUUCCUGGUUGCUGUUUGUGACCAAAAACGAGGCUUUGUUGAUAAAAGCUUCAGCAUUCACUGCAUCAUCAUCCUACAAAACUAAGAACUACAUUAGUCUAGCUGACAAUGCAAUGACGACAAAGGUUAAAAACAAGACUAACCUCCAAAUAGCGUCGUUCAAUCUGGACGCACUUGGAUAAUUUGUUUGUGUCAUCAAGCAUCCUGGUUUUUAAGAAGAUGGUCAGAUUUCCCGGACUUAGAAAAUCCAGUGACAUGUAAAGAGAGACAAAAGCUUGUUUCAACCUGAUUCCUGAGUCCAAGUCAAUGCCACUAAGCAUUUGUGCUGCUCUCAACCAUUGUUGUUCGGAUUCACACAGUUCUGCAAGCUUCUCUCUAAUCACUACAAGCAUAUAGAUAGCCAGCAUGGUUAUAGAUCAAGAAUGUUGCAACACUUUUUUACUCCCUCCGUAAACUAAUAUAAGAGCGUUUAGAACACUACUACUUAAUAUUAGUUUACAGAGUGUUCUAAACGCUCUUAUUAGUUUGCGGAGUGAUACAUAAUAACAACAAGGUCAAUUACAAAGUCACCAAAGAUAUAGUGAGAAGUUACAAAGCCCACAGAAACAGAUUUGUGUCAGUUAUUUGUGGUGGUGAAACAAAUCUAGAGAUAAACAUUCUCUAUGAGAUUUACAUGAAGACACUGGAAUACCAGUAAAUUCAAUGGAUGAUUUCUUCCACAAGAUGACAAGCAUGAUGCAGGCAUUCUUUGCACAUUUUUCUACACGGGUAUAAACUAACCAGCUUCGGUCUACAUAAUCUUUCAAUACUAGGUAAAGGACAGACCCAGUGCAUAGAAGUCCCACACAAGGUGGGGUCUGGGGAGGGAUUAUAAAAUUAAAAUGAGCACACUUAUUCUUUGUUUACUUUGAUGGUAGCUAAUACCUAGAAAUAUGAAUAGCUAAGACCUUUUGACAUGAUUGCAAUAAAUAGAAAUCAUACUGCUCAUUAAUGGCUAAUUUCGGUGUCUGUUUUCAGCAGCUUAACAAAGUUUAAUCCCACCAGACAUUAUAAAUUGCAACUUCAACAGGAACUACCCAACAGUAACACAAAAGAAGACAUAGAUAUUUAGAUUUCUGAAAUGCGGUGCAUAAGAGGGACAUGAUGCACGAAGGUAUACAUAGAUAUUUAGGUUUCUACAAUGCAACCCAUGUGAGCAUAAAAUGAGUGGCAACUGUAAUUCCCUAUAUUGCAUUAUUUUCUCUACUCGCAAACAAGAUCACGAGGUAUUUAUAAAACUAUAGUCCUUGAGCAAUAAUUAGUGCUUGAUAAUUGAAUAGAUAUAACUCGAUUUGAGAUAAGCUACCUUUCCACUCUUUAGUGUCUUCCAUACAUAUUCUUUAAGUUGGUCAGUUGUGAUGUUACUCCCAGUCUGUUUCAUUAUAGAUUUGAUUCAUAGCAACACUUCCUGCAGUAUAUGGUGAGUAUUCUCAGUUUAUGCGCAUCAAAACAGUAAAUACAGCAUUUUAAAAUAACAGGGCGUAUGUUUUUCUUCUUCUUAACAUCAUGUGCAAAAGCAAGUGGGUAAAUAGCAUAGCCACAAGUUCUGCAAUUUGUUCAUUUAUUACGAACAAUUUGUUCCAGGAGAGGCAGAGAACAUCAACUACACAUAAAAUCAAGUGUACCUGAUUAGCCAGGUCGUGCAGUGGCCCAGCCAAACUGUUCAGUGUCCUUAGCAACCCAAUAAAGAGCAAAUGUGACAUGUCCAGAUCCACAAGUCUGUACCUUGAAUACUUAGAAAAGCAUUAGAAUAUGAUAUCCACAUAACACACAUAUCACAAAAAAGUUCAGAAAAAAGAACAGUCAAUUGUCUGCACUAAACAAGUACUGGUGUGUUACCUCAGGAACUACCAAUACCAAGUUAGCAUAAAUGAUUAUAUUCGUCAAGACAUCAAUCACUCCAAGGAAAAUUUGUAAGAGAUGUGGUUAACUUGGAUGAAACACACCAUAUCUAGUAUACUAGCACAGAAGUGAUAUCAAUAUUUCUACGUUCCACAUCAGAUAGUGUAGAACACACCAUAGAUAGUAUAAACACACCACAGCCUACAUGGUUUGCACGUCUGAACGCAUCCCCAUAUAUGGAAAGACAGACAUUGGGAACAUAGGCAAAGCAUUACAAGAACUCAAUUCGAAAGAACAUAAGCAGCCAUCAGAAGAACCAUAACGAAUCACACCAUCUCUGCGAAUAAGAUGGGGUUAUUCAAGAACGUAAGAACAACCGUAACGACCACGAGCCAAAUUAGAGUAUCACAAGGGCGCAUGCGUUUGAGGUCUGGAAAUCGCCGACGAUCAACGCAGCGACGGAACCGAUCUGAAACUGACCUUACUCUGGCCUCUCCCCGUCUCCGUAAUCCAAAUUCAAAACCAGACGGCGAACACAAAACGCAGGAACGCAAAACGUAAUCGUUCAUCGCUCCGCCGCAAACACGAAAUGCGGGAUCAUGAGUGUCUCUCAGAUAACAGAAGCGCAUGCAGAAGUUCAAUGAUCCAACAAGCUCAGAAUCAAUAUUAACUACUCAAUGAUCCAACAAACAUUACAACAGAAUUUUAUGCAAUAGGAUGUCAGAAACUCAAUGAUCGCACUAUAAAUUAAUUGUCACAAAGUCUAGGAAAAUCAAGAAAAGCAUUACUCCAGUGACUGGACAUGAAUAAUAAAAAAAAAGAAUAUACUAUCAACAUAAGACAUAGCAGAACAUGCAUAUCACUAAAAAAAUAAGAAAAAAAAAAGUUAGCUGUCUACACACAAAUACGGAGUACUAGGUCACUAAUCACAAUACCGAGUUGAUGCCAUAAAAUUUAACAUGACAAGCAAUAAUUUUUCAAGCACACUAACUGGGGAUUAACAAAUGUCAAAGCAUAAGAGUUGGGCUAGUCAACUAGAUCACCAUCAUCACAUGAAAACAAGCAGCACAUGUCCACGUUAUAGGUUUGUUGAAAUUUUUGUCCAAAGGAAAGGGACACGACAGAAUUCUUGGACAAAAAAAAAACAUGCGCAUAAAUGUGAUGAACGUGCUUUCAUGGAUAAAUAAAUUCUGGAGUUAUGCUCACAACAGAAAUAUAUAUAUGCCCAUGUGUGCAAUGACAAAAUUCUUGAGUUAUGCUAUUCAAUCUAGAAUGUAGUCUAAGGGGAACUAACUAGCAGCAGCUCAUCUAGAACUCCUAUGAGUAAAAUAGCAACAUCAGGAAGAAAAGAAGGAACCUUUGUCCAACAGUAGCAGCAGCAGGUGUUCAAUUAGUUAAGCAGCAGGCAAAACAAAGCAAAGCAUGAUAAAAAAGAAACAAAUUGGAAAGAACAUAAACAGUCUACACCAUCAGAACUAAGGAAUCACCCCAUCUAAGAUGAGAGCACACACGGCAAAGGCCUAACCGGUACAACAAGAACUCAAGAAUUGACAGAGGGCCAAC